rnacentral:lncRNA from 1 species
UAAUAAACGCAAAAAAAAUCAGAAAUAUCUAAACAUUAUUCUCCAAAAGCUCAAGUUUUCUGAUAAAUCUAAAAAAUCUUGUUCAAAAAAAUUGUAAAUACACUGAACCACUACAAAAAUUUUGGUAAUGUAAGAUGCCCUUAAACCAAUUUAUCAUAACCAUACAUAUAUAUAGGCCAUGGCUACUAUACUAUUAUGAGUAUUGGAGCCAUGGUUACUAUACUAUUAUGAGCAUUGGAGCCCUCGUACUCAUAAGUUGUUUUCAAUAAUGGAGCUUCCAAAUUGACGAUCCACUCCGUUAAAUAUGAUCUAGAGUAUUUGAAACUUCUAGAAAAUAAAUUUCGUAAAUUUUCAAAAUCAUAAUAAAGUCCAUCAAGUGGGCAUAAAAUGAACGAUCAAAAUCGAACGACGUCCUAAAAAAGGAUGAUCGGAUCCUUCAAUUCAAGAUCAGAGUUAUUGAUCUUUAUCUAUGUAGUGAAUACAAUUUUCUAUCAAAAAUUCAACAAAUUUCGAUUCUUUUACACCGUUAAACUAACAAGUAUCCCAUACCGGCCGUUAAAAAUUGUCAAAUUUAUGACCUCUUGAUCGUAAGGUAAAUGAUGUCGAAAAUUUAUAAAAUUUGAUUUCUAGAAGUUUUAAAUACAGUAAAUAACGUUUAACGAUGUGGAUCGUCGAUUCGGAAGGUCUAUCAUUGAAAACAACUUAUGAGUACGAGGGCGAUCGUACUCAUAAUAGUAUAGUAGCCGGACCCCAUAUAUAUAUAUAUAUAUAUACCAGAAUAAAAACGCAAAAGAGAAAGUGGAUCAGUACACACACUUAGUCCUGUGAUGAAACAUUCUAAGUUUGUGUGACAGGAAAGUAUAUAUCAUAUUACUUAUUAUUUACAACAUUUUUUCGUCAGUUACUUAUUAUUUACAACAUUUUUUCGUCAGUGGGACCAUAUAGGGAUGUUAGGGGGCUAAGGGCAGAGGGGUGGAGCAAUAGUUUUUACGGUUGGCGUCGGAGAUGUAGGGUUGAGAUGCCACAUGGUCGAGCGCGGCCGUCACAUCACGCAUUGUGGGACGCAGAUGGGGCUUCCCAUGGAGACACAGUGAGAUAAUGACAGCCAGCUUGUAAAAGGCGCGGCGAGGGAAGCGCCCCUGCAGUAAUGGGUCGGCCAGUUGAAUGAUCCUCCGACGAUCAUUGAGGAAAGGGCGCGACUGCAAAAAGUAAGUUCAUCAGACGAAACUCACAACACAUCGGUAGCUUGGAUGAUGAGAAAGGAACUACGUGCGCCUAACAACGUAGAAAACCACGUACACAGAAUGCAUCGAAUAAACUCAGGUUAUAGCAAAACGAUCGGACCAUCAGAUGUUUUGGACUUCUUUCACAGAGGAAACAAAAGUUAGGGGAUGAAAUUACUUACCCACUCUAUUAACUUCUGCUCGUCAAAUUCUUUGGAGAAAUCAACAGCCUGCCUUCCAGUGAUGAUCUCCAACAGAACCACACCAAAGCUGUAUACAUCAGAUUUCACGUUCAGCUUCCCGCUCAUAGCAUAAUCGGGAGCGCAAUAGCCAUACGUUCCCAUCACCCUCGUCAAAACAUGAGUGUUAUCGCCGACAGGCCCAAGUUUGGCCAGCCCAAAAUCGGAGAGCUUGGGGUUGAAGUCAUCAUCUAAUAAAAUAUUUGAAGACUUCAAGUCGCGGUAAAUAACCGGCGGGUUAACCGUGUCGUGCAGAUAGGUGAGCCCUUUUGCGGCCCCAAGAGCAAUCUUUAUCCGAGUGUUCCAAUCGAGUGGCUCUUUGUUAGGAGGCACAUCUGAUGAAACGAAAGCCACACAUUAAUCCGCAAUGUGAGGAAACUACAAUUUUCCUGAUAUUCGCCCUUAUAGCAUGUACCACAACAAUAACAACACCGAUUAAAGUAAUAGGAACGUAUCGCAAGAAGUAAUAGGAAGUUAUAGGAAUGUAUGGAAAGGUUAAAUUAUUCAUUAUACAAGUUAACAAACUGCAAGGAAGAAAAAAAUGGUGCCAAGAACAGGCACUAAUAUGCGGCUAAAAACUAUAAGAUGUGAGCGACACAAUGAGGCAAAAGUUUAAACCCACUUAGGUUUUGCAGCCCCAAGUACUGAACAUUUACAGAUAAUAGAUUAAGAAAUAAAAGGAACCUAAGAUGACAAUGUUGUGGUUGACAAAUAGCACUAAUAGACGAGAGAGCACAAGAAACCUAACAUAACCAUUACAAUUAUAAUACAGCGCCGAGCCAGCAUUAAAAAUCAUCUGAUGCGCUAGGGCGUAAAAAUGGAGGUAACCCAGGUUCUAACUUUACCGCAUUUAAGGAUAGUAAGCACAUUUACAGCGGAAGCGCUUAUGAAUUUACUGUUUUGGUUAGCCUAGAAAUACUAUGAACAGCACAUUUACUCUUUUACGAACUCUUGAUCUUUCAUAAAUUUGUGGCCUGAAAGUUUAUCAACCACAAUUAAGCACCAGACGCCCUUCUUAAAACUUCCCACACGACACCACAAGCAGUUGAAUUCAUGAAAAUUAAAUUUUUCAAAGCAAAAGUCACAUCCACGGAGUUAGAUUCGACAGGAAGAGUAAAAAAAAGAAACUCGAAUACAGGGAAAAGUUUCAUGCAUUUACUCUCAGGCUUCUCAGCCUCUCACAGUGUAGAAACUUACCAAAUAAGUGGCCUUCCAAGCUACCCUGUGACAUGUACUCAUAAACCAAGAGCCUCUCCUCGCCCUCGGCACAGUAUCCGAUCAAGGUGACGAGAUUCGGAUGGUGCAGCAUUAUCAACAUAAGACACUCAACCAGAAAUUCCCGGCUCCCCUGCACCCCCUCCCGAUUGAGCUGCUUGAUUGCCACAACCUGUUCGUAAGUGUUCAACAACAAAAUCAUCAUCAAAAUUGAAACUUUUUCAAUAAAAAGAAAUAAAACCGGAUCAAGCUAAUUGAAGAAAAUGAAUAAUUCAUUCACCUGGCCUGAUUCCAAGAACCCUUUAUAGACCCUCCCAAACCCCCCUUCUCCGAUCAAAUUCGCCUCCCGGAAGUUCUGCGUGGCAGCAGCAAGCUGCUGCAAGGUGAAUCUACAGGCUCCACUGCCGCCGCUUCUCUCGCCAUCCGGAGAGAGAGCCCUCUUCUCGGUCUCUACAAACAGAACAAAGAGGCCACAAAAAGACACUUACAGAUCUUCAAAAAAUGGCAAAUAAGAUGCAAAUGGAACAACGAGGCUAUGAAGAACAACGAAAACAACGCAAAAAAGAAAUUGAGGGGAAAAAAGAAAGAUGGAGAAUGGAGAUCAUACCUAAGGAAUCGACGAUGCCAGAUAGGGAUCGAGAGCGCAUGCUGUGGCCGCUCCGCCGCGGAGGAUCCUUCAGGCGGGAGCCGCAAGCGAAGCAGCUCAUCGCGCCGAAGGGAUAAAAAAUGGGGGCAAGUGGGAAGACGAAACCCUAAUCUCCUCUCCCUCGAAGAGAGGAGCCGAACCCUAGAAAGCUACAUUGUACCUCCGCAUUCAUGAUCGCCUCCCUCGACCAUUCUCCCUCCCCUCCAAAAAUAAAACCCUAGAACAGAUGAUCCGAAAGAACCGGAUCGCCAUUAAUAGCAAAAGAGACCCUCUCUCCUCUUCGGCGAGUACGUAAUUUGCUAUUUAGGGUAUGCGCGCUAGGGUUUGCGAGUACAACAACUCGCUCCCGCAUGGCACGCGGGGAAGAGGAAGAGAAUGGGGGGAAAGAAGAAGCCAUGGGAGAGCGAAAGGGAGGAGGAGGAAGAAGACGGGAAUUAGGGUUUCGUUAUUUGCUUCUGUUCGAAAUUGGGAAAUUGGGGCUUGUUUUGGCGCGCACAAAGAGAGUAAGCAGGUUAGUUACAUUAUUUGCAAUAGACCGAGUUUGCCACGUCAUCGUGAACGGCUCACUCCAAGUCCUUUUUUUUGGUAAUAAAAUAAAGAUAAAAAUAUAUCUAGAAGUUACCUAAAUUUUAGACCAUCUUGAGUCAGUUUUCAAAUAUUUCAAAAUUUUAAUAUUACUAUCUAAUUUUUUAAUUAAUUUGAUUUCAAUCAAUCAACAGCAGUUUGAUUUUAAAAUUUAAAUGCGUCGUUACUUUUAUAUAUUUAAUUAGUCUAUUUUAUACAAUACUUACAAUUAUAAAUUUAUUAAAGUGAAUAAUUAGCUUAAAUUUUGAAGUCAAUAUAUCAUUUAUUGACUCAAUUAAAUAAAUUUAAAAAUUGAAUAGUAAAAUUAAAAUUUUGAAAGAUUGAAUAGUAGAAUCAAAUGAUCCACUAUUCAUGUAAGUUCUCUACAUAUUUAUCUAAAAUAAAUUACUUUUUAUGCUUAUACCAAAUUGUAAAUAUUAAGACCUUUUGAUCAAAGUGAAUUAAAUUUCUAAUUUUUAAUCACAAAAAAGAAAAUCUCAUGCCGAAUAAUUUACGCAAGGAGGUAUUUCAUAUUUGAGACACAGAAUAAACUACAUUAAGAGCUUUUUAUAAUUAAGUGUUUUAAUUUUUAUCUGGGGUGAGUGUAUUUCGGAGUCUAAAUUGGGUCAUGUUGGCCCAACCCAUGGGUCAUGCUGGGUCGCAUUUAGAUCUGGCAAACAGGCGGGUUGGAUAACACACGGACGGGUCAUUAUACCCGCGGGUUACUUAGGCAUGGAUAAAAUUUACCCAUAAAUUUUUGGAUAAUCAACAUCUUUACCCAUACCUGCCCGCGGGUGGGCGGGUGGGUAUGCCGGUUACCAGCAAUUUUUUUUUCUUUUUUUUUUCUCUUAUAUUUUUUAAAUGCAAACACAUAUGUAUAAGUUUUAAAAUAUAACAUAAGUCAUUAUUUAAAAUAUCAUAACAUACAAUAAAAAUAUUUAAAGUCUUAAAGCAAACAAAUUUUGUAAUAUAAAAGACGUGAUAAAAAAUUAGGGUUAGAAUUUUUAUGAUGGAUAAAUAAAAAUAUAUGUAUUUUAAUUAAGAAAAUAUAUUUUUUAAUUUAAAAAUAUAUGUGCGUAUACCCGUACGAGUACCCGCGGGUUACCCAAAACGCCCACAGCUUAAUGGGUACCCACCUGUUUUAUCUAUAAUUUUUUGGGUUAGAAAAGUUGGUACCCAUACCCGCAAAUUUGCGGAUAACCCACGGGCACCUGCGGGUAUGGAUCAAGAUUGCCAAGUCUAGUCGUAUUCAGCUGAACCAUAACACUAUAAAUAAAUGCGGGCUUUGCUGGCACGGCACAUGCGGUAUUAUAUCUUUUCACCUCUUUUGGUUCGGGGAUAAGAGUAAGGAUAAGUCCUUAUCUCAUCUUUAUACUUAAACGCUAUUUUUCGUACUAAGAAUAAUAGCUCGGAUUAAAAAUCUGGAAUUAUUGCUCCACCAUUAUCCUUAGAACAAUCAAAAACAAAAUUAAUUAAACUUUAAUUAAUUUUAAUUAUAAUAAUAAAUUAUUAAAUAGAUUAUUAAUCUAAUUAGUAAUGUUGCCAUUACUAAGGAUCGAAUCAACCUCUCUCUCUCUCUCUCUCUCUCUCUCUCUCUCUCUCUCAUUUUUUGUGCCUUCAUAAAUCGGUCAAUAUAUUAGUUUAUCACAAACCCUCGAAGAGACUCACUAAAAAUUGAAACCUUAACUUUGAGUCAGUAAUCAGAAUAACUGUACAUAAUUUUACCCAUUAGAUUAAUUUUACCUGUUAGAUUAUACUGUUCAAUCAACCACUCACUCAACCCUAAAGGACCUACAUCAUUCUAACCACACAUCUUUUAAUCCAAGGACAGAAAACUUAAUAGCACAAGUCAUUGGUGCUAUUAAUAGUAUUCCAGCCUAAUUAUAUAUAUAUAUAUAUAUANAGCAAUGUGGUGUCACACUAUAUAUAUAUAUAGAAUUAUGUUACUAUACUAUCUAUGGUACCGGAGCUUCGGUACUAUAGUCAUGUUUUCGAUUUUAGAGUGUUCAAAUUAAUGAUCCACACCGUUAAAUAUGAUCUAGAAUAUAUAAAGUUCUUAGGAAUAAAAUUUUAUUUUUUUUGAACAUCGUUUACUUUGUAAAUAAAUUAUGUCAAAAUAGAUAGUAAAAAUUGAAUAAUCUUUAAAAUUUGAGUAUAGGACUUUUAAAUUUAAGAUAGAUAGUUUAAAGUAUUUUUUAUCAAAAUUUGAAAAAAUUUAGAUUCUUCUACACCAUUAAACUCCAAACUCGCCAUAGUAACCAUUAAAAAUUGACAAUUUUGAAAUGGUUUGAUCGUAAAGUAAACUAUGUCGAAAAAAUAUAAAAUUUUGUUUCUAAAAACUUUAAAUACCCUAAAUCAGUUUUAACGGUGUAGAUCAUUGAAUUAAACACCCUAAGAUCGAAAACGAAAUUAUAGUACCGGAGCCUCGGUAUUAUAGAUAGUCUAGGAGACUAGCUCUCUAUAUAUAUAUUUGAGUUUGUUAUUUACAAGCCCGUCAUUUUGGAUAACAUAAUAUCAACAUUAAUUCCAAACACAUUCAUUAUGCAGGGUUAUGAGAUUAAUUUUUUUUUUUUUUUUUUUUAGAGAUAGGUAGCAUGCUAUCCGUUUUGCUUAUUUCAUUUAGAAAUAAACUCAGCUAAAAAUAUGAAUCAACUAGGAUUUAAACUUGAGACCUCACGUAUCGAUCACCAAGCCUUUCGUAAUGAGAUUAAAAUUCUCACAUCAUAAAUUAAUGAGUUAAAUUUUUAGUUUUUUUUUCUUAUCUAUUAAUUUUAUAUUUAUUUUUUAUUUAUAUUUAUUAUGUCUGUAAAUAAAGAUGUUAAUAUUAAUUUGGACACAAACCUUAUCUUUAUCUUCAUCUUUGACCUUUGCGUACUCCCCGUCGCAUCCGUCGACUUCCCGAAAGCGAUGUUUAUAGGGAUAUCGUGCUUUAAGAUUAGGACAGAAAAAAUAAAAAAUAAAAAAAAAUCCUCGCCACGUCGAAAACGAAUUUUGUGUUAAAGUAAUCCCUUCUAGAGUGGACGGGAACACGUGGCACCAUAGACAUCACCGUCAUGUGUCCACGUGGCUCCGCCUCUGCUUAUUUUAUUACUAGCAACUAACCCUUGCAAUGCACGAAUUUUAAAUUGAUCUUUUAAUUACAUUUUUUAUAUAAUACAUAUUAAUUUUUACAUAUUAAGUUUUUUUAAUAUAUUUUUAUUAUAAUUUUUAUAUAAUAUAUAUUAAUUUUUACAUAGUAAGCUUUUAUUAGAAAAAUUAUUGAAUCAAAUUAAAAUAAAUACUAUCAUGAUAAACUAAUAGAUUGUAAGUAAAUAAUUUAAAAUGAAAAGAUUUUAAAAUGAAAAAGUAAAAAGGUUCAAAUCCAUUAAAAAUUUAACAUAAUUAUUAUUUAUAUAUUUUUUAAUACACAAUAUUGAAAUGGCGAAGAAAAUUAAUUUUAUUUCAAAUUCUUAAUGACUAAUUCUGUAAAGUUAUUUUUUGAAGGAUUUAAAGUGACUAAAUUUGAAAAGUAAUUUUUUAGAAUUGGAAAGCAUAUACAUAUUAUGAUUCUUUUAAAUAAAAAAUAAUUAUUAUUGUGAAUAAUUAGUCAUGUAUGUAUAUCGAUAUUUUCACAAAUCAAUCAAAAAUUUAAAUAUAAUAUCAAACAUACCUCCCAAAGUAUUAUUGAGCAUUUCUUGCGAUAGGGUAAAUAUUUAUGCGCUCGAAAUUUCAAUACUAUGACGAAGUGCAAAGCGACUGGUAUAUAUCCUGAAAAAAAAGAAGAUAAUAUAUACAUUACAACAGACCAAAUCUUAAAGUAAUUAUUUUCGAAUUUUGAAAAUAACUUACAUUUUGUAGAAAGAUUGUGCAUAAAGUAAAAUAAACUUACAUUUUGUAGAAAGAUAUGUGCAUAAAGAAGAUGAAAAAUAAAGUUACAUUUUUGUAGAAAGAUUGCAUAAAGAUGGAAAUAAGUCCGCCUUCCACUACAUACAAUGAAUAAUAACAUGAGAAAAUAAUGACUUUUCUUGUAAUAAAUCAAUAAAUUAUAAUUUUAAGAUAAAAAUUUGUUGUAACUUAACUAUAAAAGUUGAUAGCCCUCAAUCAAAGAAAGAAGGAACAAAAAUAAAAAAAAAAACUAUUGUGCAGUUAAGGAAAAAAAAAAUAAUUAUUACUUUUAUUAUUUUAAUAUUUAAAAUAAGUAAAGCUAUUAUAUAUAAAAUAUAUAUAAAAAAGAAGACCAAUUUUACAAUAUCAAAAUAAUUUGGUAUUAUCGUUAUUAUUUCUUCUAAUUAUUUAAUAUAUUGUAUAAUAAUUUAAUUAAAAUAGUUGGUAUAUAUAUAUAUAUAUAUAUAUAUAUAUAAUUAAUAUAUAUAUAUAUAUAUAUAUAUAUAUAUAUAUAUAUAGAGUAGGGCUAGGAAUUGUAAAAAGUAUUAUGGGGGUGAUACUUGUGUUUUUACAUUGGAUGGAGAGAUGUGAGGUUCAGAUGAUGGUGUAGGUGGUGGUAGUGGUGGUGUAGGUGGAUGUGUUUAAUUCAAGGCUAUUAAUAAUCAAAAAGUAGAUCCAAUGGCUUAAAACCUAAUAGCACCAUGAGGUGUACUUGUAAAGUAUCAUAGCUCAACUCUAUAUAUAUAUAUAUUUAUAGAGUGAGGCUACUAUGCUAUCGAAGCACGGAGCCUUUCGGCUUCCAGCUCGUUUUCGAUGUUGCGAACUUUCGAAUCGUCGAUCGGCUCCGUUAAAAUUGAUCUAGAGUAUUGUACCUAGAAAUAAAUUUUAUUAUUUUCGAUAUCAUUUGCUAGUGAUCGAAUGGGCUCAAAAUCAACAAAUUUCAAUGGCCGUAGUGAGCCAUUUGCAGUUUAACAGGUCUUGUAGAAAUAUCAAAUCACGUGAAAUUUUGAUAAAAAAAUUCUUUAUACUAUAUAAAACAAAAUCAAUAUUCUUUGAUUUAAAAUUUAAUGUCAUAUUAUUACAUUUUGUAAGAUUUUAUUUUCAGCCGUUGAUUUUGAGCCCCUUCGUUCACUAGCAAAUGAUUAUCGUAAAUCAUUAAAAUUUAUUUUCUAGGUACUUCAAAUACUCUAGAUCAAGUUAACGGAGCCGAUCGACGAUUCGAAAGUCGCAACAUUGAACGACUGAAGCACGGAAGGCUCCGUGCUUCGAAGCAUAGUAGCCUCACUCUCAUAUAUAUAUAAAUAUUAUAUAUAUAUAUAUAUUAUAUUAUAUAUAUAUAUAUAUAAUCCAAAAAAUUAAAUAAAAUUAAAACAAACACCUGAACUUUUCACGCCGCCCACGCUCUUCCUUUGACGCGCCUGCUCGCCAUCAUCCUGCAAUGGGUAAAAGUAAACGCGUGAGAGAUCGUUAGAAACCUAAACCCCAAAGAGAAAAUAGAAAAACUAUAAAAAGUUGAAUAGGCCUCAAUCAAAGAAAGAAGGGAAAAAAAAAUAACUUUGUUCAGUUAAGGAACAAAAAAUAACUGUUGUGCAGUUAAGAAAAAAAAUAACUAUUGUGCAGUUAAGGAAAAAAAAUUAUUACUUAUAUUAUUUUAUAUUUAAAAAUAAGUAAAGCUUUAUUAUAUAAAAAAAAUAUAUAAAAAGAAGACCAAAUUUUACAUAUUUAAAUAAUUUGUAUGUAUGGUUAUGAUUUCUUCUAUUAUUUAAUAUUUGUAUAAUAAUUUAAUUAAAUAGUUAUAUAUUAAUUUGGUAUGUAUGGUUAUAAUUUUCUCUAAUUACUUAAAUAUUUGUAAUAAUUUAAUUAAAAUAGUUGGUUAGAUAUAUAUAUUAUAUAUAUAUAUAUAUAUUAAUAUUAUAUAUAUAUAUAUAUAUUAUAUAUAUAUAUAUAUAUAUAUAUAUAUAUAUAUAUAUAUGCCACGUGGCACAUUGAACUUUUUUGUAAGUGCGCGCACUGGCAUCAUUUGCGUUCAAUUGGAACAAUGCUUCCACAAAUUAUAUAUAAUAAUAUAAAUUAUUAUAUGAUUUAAUCAUUAAUUUUAAUUAAAGUUUUAAUUAAUGGAAUAUUUAAAAGAUAAGAGUACUUUAAAAAAUUCUGCAAUAAUCAUGUUUAUUUGGAAAUGGAAAGAUUUGGUGUGAAAUUAAAAAAAAAGAAAAAUUAUUACAUUUUCUUUAUAUGAAAAGAGAUAAUAAUUGUUUCUUAUUUUUAUUUUUGGAGAUAAAAAAAACAUAACCCAUGUUGAAAGUUUUAUUUUUCUCUGUUUUUCUCUUUUUUUUCUUUUCAAAUUUUGAUUCAAGCAGAGAACAUAAUUUAAUCUCAUAGUUUUCUUUUUUUUUUCCUCUUAUUUUUUCUUUAUUCAAACAGAAUGUAAAAGAUAAUACUUAUUUAAUUAUUUAAUUAAAUAAAUUAUCUAAUUAUAAUUUAGGAAUUAUUACGACUUUGCUUUUAAAUCUUGUAAAAUCAGAUUAGAUAUGAGUUUUCAAGAUAAUUUCUGUACUAAAUAAUAUCCGAGAUUCUAAGUUUGAAGUCUAAUUAUUUUAUAUUUUCAACUAAAUUUAUUUUUUAAAAAAUAAACGAAAUAGAUAGUAUAAUAUUUUUCUCUCCGGAAUUAUAAAAUAAAAUUUUCUACUUUGUAGAGUAAUCUCAGUAUGCUGCAUAUAAGGUAAUAAAAUCUAUACAUACAAUUUAAAAUGGGUAAACUUCAAAUACCAUUCACGUGGUUUUGCACUUUCUCACUUUAGUAACUUGUAAUUUAAAGUGUAUUAAGUUAGUGUCAUGUGGUUUCAUUUUUAAUUUUUGGUCAAUUUUUUCGUUAAUAUUUUAUUAAAUUAUAUAAAAAUUUUUUCAGAUAUCCCACUUACGUUUAUCGAAUAUUUAUUUUAGUAUCUUUUCGUUUUAACUUUGUCACUGAUUUAACGAAAAAAAUAAGUAAAAUCGAUAAUAAAAAUAUAAAAAUAAAAACACAGGACACUAAAUUAAUAUACUUUAAACCAUUUGGUAGUAAUGUGAGAAAUUGUGAAACAACAUGAAUGAUAUUUGAAGUUUCCCCAUUUAAAAUUACGAGCCGCCAAAUAAAAGGAAAAAUUCAAAUUAUGAGACUUUCAAUUACAUACAACUAACAAAUUAUAUACAAAUAUAUAGAACUAGUUUGGAAUACUAUUAGGGUGCGUUUGGUUCGCAUUAUGAAAGAUUACUAGGAAUAAAAGAUAUCUGAGAAUCUUAUUACUAUUCAUCCUAUUACUAAGAAUGUGGAAUUCCUAUGUUUGGUUCGCACGGUAAUAUUAAUUAGCCAUGUUAUUUAAUAUUACAAAAAAUAUACAAUUUAUUUAUUUAUUUAUUUAUUUAAUUUUAGAUAAUGUUACCAAAAGUUUCAACAUCUUUUUAGAAAAAAGGAAGAGAGAGUAUAAGAUAGAGAGAGAGCAUAAUUAAAAAAAUAGAAAAAAAAAAUAUAGUCAAAAUUAGAGGGAGUGAGAGAGUUGAAAUUUUAGAAAGAGAGAGAGAGAGAGAAAGCUUAGUUUAGAGAGAGAAAAAAAAAAGUUGAAUUUUAGAGAAAAAAAUAAGUUUAGAAAGAGAUAUAAGAUUAGAGUGUAAAGACAAAUAAUAUCAAUUAGCCGGCGGGUAGGAAGAAAAAAAGAGAUUAGACAUAUUAUGAUUACCCCAAUCCAUUAAUAUGAGGAUACCCACCCCCCCUCAAGGGAAUGAGAUUAGUACUUUGGAGUGAAUCUUAUUCCCAAGUGAAUCCAAUAUUAUCAACUAGAUUACUUAGUGCGUUUAGCCAAAUACUGUCAUAAUUUUUUAUUCCCAUUGGAUUACUAGGAAUCUUUAAAAGAUAGCGCGAACCAAACGCACCCUUAAUAACAUCAAAUUAUUUGUGCUAUUAGAUUUUUGGUCCAUAAAUGAAAGAAUGUGCGGUUAGGAUAACAGUAAUUUUUAGGGUUUAGUGAGUGCUUUGUUGAAUAAUAUAAUAUUAGAGUUGAAAAAUGAUCAAAAGGUUUAUUUUUAUUUGUACUAAUAUUUAUAAAUAUAUCAUAUCAGACAAUUCCUUACUACAGGACCAAAUAUGCAAUGCAGAGAGAUGUAAAGGAUUAGAUAUUUUCAUUAGACUAUGGAGCUCUAGCCCAAAAUUUACAUGGAGAGUACGGUGAAUUGUUCAUUAUAUUUAACUUAAAUUCUUCUUUCAAUAUGGCACUUACGUGUAGUAUAUAUUCACGUGGCAAAAAUAAGAUUAAUUUUAUAAAUAUAAAUUUUAUGAGACUAUUUGUACAAAAAAUAUUUGUUAAAAAACUAAAUGCAAAAAAAAAAAAAAAAAACUAUCUUUAAUAAGAGAAUGUGCCUAUCAACCAAUAAACCUUUUGUUCCGCUCGAGAAAAAAAAGAAGGAUAAACUUUAAGGGUGUGUUUGGUUCGCGCUAUCUUUUCAAGAUUCAUAAUAAUCCAAUAGGAAUACAAAAAUAUUACGAUGUUUGGCUAAACGUAUAAGUAAUCUAGUUGGUAAUAUUAGAUUUACUUGGAAAUGAGAUGCAUCCCAAAGUACUAAUCUCAUUCCUUUGAGGAAGGAUGGGUAUCUUUAUAUUAAUGGAUUGGAGUAAUUAUAAUAUGUUUAAUUUUUUUUUUUCUUCUCACCCAGUAGCUAGUUAAUAUUAUUUUUCUUUACACUCUAACCUCGCAUCUCUCUCUAAACUUAUCUUUUUCUUUCUAAACUUCAACUCUUUUUCUCUUUCUAAAUUAAGCUAUUUCUCUUCCUCUUUUUGUAAAAUCUCAACCCUCUUAUUCUCUUUAACAUCGACUUUAUUUUUCUUCCUAUUUUUUUUAAUUAUGCUCUCUCUAUUUAACCUAUGUUCUCUCUCUUUUUUCUAAAAAAAUAUUAAAAUUUUUUAUAGUAUUAUUUAAAAUUAAUUAAUUAAAUUAAUUAAUUAAUUGUAUAUUUUUUGUAAUCUUAAAUAAUAUGACCAAAUAAUAUAACUGUACGAACCAAACACCGAAAUACUACAUUCUUAGUAAUAGAAUGAAUAGGAAUAAGAUUCUCGGAUAUCUUUUAACUCUUAGUAAUCUUUGAUAGUGCGAACCAAAUGCGCCCUAAAUGCCAUCCCUUUGAUUUUGCACUUUUUUAUUUUAGUACCAUAAAGUUUAAAGUGUACCAAUUUAGUAUCAUGUGGUUUUAUUUUUCUCUUUUUGUUAGUCCCUCUAUUAACUUUUUGUUAAAUCAUAUGCAAAAAAUUUUAGAUACCUUACUUAUAGUUUAUCGAAUAUUCACUUUAAUACGCUUUAGUUUUAACUUUGUCACUUAUUUAAUUAAAAAAUUAGUGGAGGGAAUAACAAAAAGAGAAAAAUAAAAUCACAGAAUACGAAAGUAAUACACUUUAAAUCACAAAGUACUAAAAUAAAAAAAAAACGAAAUUCCAAUAGCAAUAUUUGAAGUUUUUUCUAAAAGGAAAAAUAAAAACGAAAAAGUUCCCGGUGGACAAUUUUUUCUUCUUUUUUUUUGAAAAAAAGAUAGCAAGCUAUCCGUUUCAUUCAUAAAGUAGUAUGAACUUGGCAACAUAGGUAAGGCAGCGAAAGCCUUAAGAAAAAAAAAAACAAAACAUCAAAAAUAGAGAGUGAGAGAUGUAUGGGGAGAGGGAGGAAAGAAAGGGAUUGUUCUAACCAAUUCUGUGCGAAUGAAUGUAUACGGUUAAAAACUUGAGCUGGGCUUGAGCCUCAUACCCUAAGGUACCGUUUGGUUCGGGUAUAAGCAAGAACUAGCUAUUACAGGGAUAGGUACAAGUAUGGGGAAAAGAAAAAUAGUGUUUAGAUGAAAAUUGGAUUGUUUCUGGGAAUAAGAACAAUGUUAGAUAGUUUUAUAUAGAAAAUGGAGGUGUUGGUAGGGAUAACCGAGAACUACUAUUCUCGGAUAAAAAAUUAGCGUUUGGAUAUAAAGGGGGAGAUAAGGGUCUAUUCCUAUCCCUAUCCCUAAUCAAACGCUGCCUAAGUAUAAUAUUAUUUCUUCCUAGUCAGAUUACCGACUAUGUAGCUGAAAAUUUAGUCAAUUCAUUUAUUCGACUACGGCUGUCAAUCUUGCUGUAACAUUUCUCCCAAAGCCUUGUUAUACUGUACUCAGGCGAUAUGGUAGGCAAGUUAUUCGUCGAACAAAAAAGUAAAUAUCGAAAAUAGAGACAUCUUGAAAAUAGGUGAUCGCAGAUUUCAACUUCAUUGGCACAAAACAUACGCAGCUGUUCUCCUGUCCAACCCUGCUUAAAAACAUUAUCUACAGUGAGCACCCUUGUUUUGAAUACUAAUCAAAUAAAAAUCUUGGCCUUCACUGGAAUCGUGACCUUGUCGAUUGGUGGACAACUUCAAUCUUCAAACCGAGACAACAAUCAAGAUAGGGCAGCAGGACGGCUAAGGAGGCAAACUGUUCUCGGUGUACCUGUACGGCAAUCUUGUCUGCACCGUGUGAUGUGAAUGGAACGGCCAAGAUUUAACAGAUUGUCGUAAUGUGGUCAAUUUUGGAUAACUUCCUUUGGAAGGAAAAAUUAAAUUACGUUCACCAAUGAUAAAACUUCGGUUCAAAGUGAAUAUUAGGAUAAAUUAUAUUUUUGGUACUCAGUUAUGACACACGAUAUACUUUAAUUUAUUAUAAUUUCUGAUUCGAAAUUUAGAAAUUACUGUAUUAAGUUUCAAAUUUAAUUUAUAAGGCUUAAUAUUGAAGAGUUUCAGGUGUGAAAGGCAUUACCAAUCAUAAUAUUAUGUACCUUAUAUAUAUAUAUAUAUUAUAUUAUUGUUACUAUCUUAUUUUUAUGGUUUUAUUAAAAUUCAAAAAACCUUAUUGACCGAAAUGCCCUAAUGGUUUAUCAAAUAUCGGCAACUCUCUCUGAAACGGGAACUUCCAGUGGCAGUGAAGUAAUAAAAUCCAAUUGGAAGGUGAAAUAUGUUAAAAAUAAAUAAAUAAAUAUAUAAAUAAAUAUUAAAAAAUAAAUGAAAUCUAAGGCGCGUUCGAACAUGGUUAGGAAAAGAUUCGCGUGCGAAGCACCACACCGCGCCCGCGCUCUCCCGACUCCCCCUCGUUUAUCCUUACCCUCUCUAAUAAGGCACUCUUAAUUAAAGUUCCAAAAUUAAUCUAAAAAAAUUUUAGAUAAAUUGUCAAAAAACAGAAGAUAAAUUAAAAUUAAAUUUAGAAAGCAAAUAGAAGUAGACACGCUUUUUAAGUAAUUUUAGAAAUAUAAUUUGGUGUUUGAUAAUAAUAAAAAAUGCUUAAAUUUAGUUAAUUGUAUUUAUAUAUAUAUAUAUAUAUAAUAAUUUUAAAAUUUAAAUCGAGAAUUCUUUUUUUUUAAAAAAAAUAUAUAAAGAGCUAAUUAUUCUCCUAAAAGGUGAUUCACACACGUCAAUUUCACAAACUUGUGGAAAAUUUAUUCUCGUAAUAUUUCCAGGGCAUGGAUUCCAUGACCCUUCUCACUUUCUCUUCAUUUUCUUCGUCUUCUUCGUCUUCAGUCUCCUUCUCUCUCUAUCUCUCUAUCUCUAGAGAGAGAAAAGAUGCGGCGGAAGAUGAUGACGUCACUCGUCGCCCUUAUCCUCGUCGUCGUCGUCGUCGUCGUCGUCGUCGUCUCCUCCUCCUACAACAUCAACUGCCACUCCCGCGACCUCCUCCUCUCCUACUCGGAAACCCUAACCCUAGCCCUGAACUCCACCGUGCCCCAGGCCCUCCACGAGGCCUCCAACCACGCCCUCGCCGAGCUCCCUCGCGACCCCCGCCGCCGCCGACGCCGCCGCUCCGUUCGUCCUUGGACCUGCUGGCGCCGCCGCCGCUGCUGUUAACCUCGUGGUGCCCCCCCGGCNGCCUCGUCCUCCCCGGCGGCGACGGCGCCGCCGGGGAGGAGCCCUCGCCGGAGAUGCUCCGGUGGAAUCGCCUCGCCUACGAGUCCCUCUCCACCCCCGACGACGUCGUCGUCUUCGCCAAGGGCGUCAACACCCGCUCCGCCGCCGCCGCCGCCGAGGUCCGCUGCGUCUACUACUCCGUCCACGGCGGCGCCGCCCCCUCCUCCUCCGCCGCCGCCGCCAUUAGCGCCGCCCAGGAGGUGUUCCGCUGCCCCCACCCCCCGCCCUCGCCCUCGCCCUCGCCCUCGCCCUCCCUCGAAGUCGGCGCCGAGCUCCGCGUCUCCCUCGCGACCGGCGCCGCGGACGCGACCCCGAUCCCCUCCCUGGCCAGUUACCGCCCGCCACGCGCCCCCCCGGCGCACGGUAGCCCCGCGGCGCCGCGGUCGCUAAUCUGCGCCUGCACGAUGGUGUACAACGCGGCCAAGUUCCUCGGCGAGUGGGUCGCGUACCACGCGGCGAUCGGCGUCGAGCGCUUCUUCCUCUACGACAACGCCAGCGACGACGACGAGGAGGAGGGGCCGCGGCGAUCCGCCGCCUCUCCUCGGCGGGCCACCGCGUGUCGUCCCGCUACUGGCCCUGGCCCAAGACCCAGGAGGCCGCGUUCUCCCACUGCGCCGCGGCGCACCGGGACGCGUGUCGCUGGAUGGCCUUCGUCGACGUGGACGAGUUCGUGUUCUCCCCCGACUGGGCCGGCUCGCCCCGGCCCAACCGGUCCAUGUUGGGCUCGCUGCUUCCGGUCCGGCCUAACAUCGGGCAGGUCAGCAUGGGCUGCUACGAGUUCGGGCCCUCGGGCCUUUCAGCCCACCCGAAGCCCGGCGUCACGCAAGGGUACACGUGCCGCAGGCGUGCGGCCGAGCGGCACAAGUCGGUCGACCGGUCGCUGGCCAACUCGGUGCACCACUUCUCGCUAAGAAAAGGUUUCAGGACCAGACGGGUCGGGACGGUCCGGGUGAACCACUACAAGUACCAGGCGUGGGACGAAUUCAAAGUGAAGUUUCGGCGGCGCGCGUCGGCCUUCGUAGCGGACUGGUCGACUGCGGUGAACCCCGGUUCGAGGGACCGGACGCCCGGGUUGGGGUUCAAGGCGAUCGAGCCGGUUGGGUGGACUGAAAUGUUCUGCCAAGUUCAGGAUUUCAAGCUCCGAGACGCCACCCGAAGGUGGUUCGGCGUGGCGGGGCCCCAUGGGACAUAUAAAAUGGUAUGGGAAUAAAUUUUUUUUUUAAAAAAAAAAACUCAAAGAGAGAGAGAGAAAUACUGAAACACUGCAAAAAUAGAUUAUUAAGAAUAGGUGGCAUAAAGAUUUUUUUUUUUUUUUUUUUUUGUUGUUGUAAAAUGACAUUUUGUAAUAAUAUUUGUAAAUAAAGAAAGUAACAGUGGUAAUAGAGAACUUGCUCACAUCGGUAUAUUAAAAGGAUUGACUCUCUCUCUCUUCUCACAAUUGCCUCUUUGGCUCUUCGCUGAAGGCAACUAAUGUGCACCUGCCAUGUGAGAUUGCUAUGUCAUAACCUGGAAGAGACAUGCAGAGAGAUAAAUAACCGGAAACAGAGGAGGAGGAAAAACCACAUGUGAGAUUGCUAUGUCAAGGUUUGAUACUUCCUAUUUAUGGAAUUAAUUACUCAAAAAAAAAAGAUAGAAAAAAAAGUUGGUAUAUCAUUAUCCACAAAAAAAUUUUAUAAGCUGCUGAUGUGUCAUUGCAAAAGCACAUAUAGUAUUUUACACUAUACGCAUAAACUAAUUAAAAUUCUUUAUAUUAUGAGUAUUAACUAACUAAAAUUCUUUGUAUUAUUAUAAUCGUUAAUCUAUCGAUAACAUGCAAGGACAUCAUCUCAGAAGAAAUACUUAGGAAGAGAUCAUUGCGUCCUUGCAUUAAAGGAUUAUCAAGAGUCCAUUAUUGAGCAAUCCAAAGUUCUUAUGCCCAGUUGGUGGGUUCUACAAUUUAAGUUCAAACAAGAACUUAGAAUUUAAUGCUUCAAUAAGGAAACAAGUUUUUAUUUACCUGGGUCUCCAAGGUUGCAUUAAAAAUCAUCUUUCAUUAAAAAAAUAGGUAGCGAGGGGUCCUAGGCGAAGAUAUAUAUAUUAUGGUUAUAACCGUUUUAUAGCGCGCACAUAAACCCUUGCCAUUUUCGACCGACUUUUUCAAACUUUGAGGCCCACCAGAGUCCACAAAUCAAAAGCCACCGUAUUAUAUACAUGCAUAUAAAACAGUUGUAAGCAAUAUAUCAAAGUCAACAAGCAAUCUUUUGAAAUCACGGCGGCUAAUUUCUGCUUCAUUUAGUGAAUUGCUUUCAAUAUAAAUUAAUCUGUACAAAAAACAGCUGCUUUCAUUUUACAACACGGCGCUAAUUUUGUAACUAAUUGUUAAAACUCUGCAUCCCUAUAUAUCCCUCAUCUGCGUCGUUCAGGCUUCGUCGACACCAUGAAGCCCUCAGCCUAAGUCUCUAACGAAUCGGCGACAAAUCAAAUAAUAUUGCACCUCAUAAUUGCAAUGCUAGGUCAGGUUGCUUCUGAUCCACCAGCACGCUCUUCGAAGUCGGCGAUCCUGGCGACUGGAACCCAACGUUGAGAUCAGGGGGUCCAUCAGAACCUCUCUGAGAGUGCUGCGGAAAGCCGCGCCACACUCCUUGCUGAUCAGCGCCUGAAUAAUCGGAAUAACCGGCCAAUUUAGCUUUCUCCACUUCGUGUUGGGUUACGGGUAUACGAUAAUUGUGAGUACUGUUGCUUCUCAAGAUUGUGUUGCCGUGAAUCAUCCUCGGUUCCAACCCCAUACUUCCCCGCGGCAUGGAGGAUUCAACCACUUUCCCAAUCUGAGAAGCCAUAGUAAACCCUAGUGGGGUAUUAAAACCAUUUAUGGUAGGUUGCGCUGCUUUAUCGUCAUCUUUGGUAUUAGAUGCCAAAGAUGGCGUAGGGAGAUUCGUCUCACAAACACGGUCUUGUACUGCGGAGCUAUUGGAGGGGGAUUCUGCAGGUGAAACUGUGGAGGUGCACGGAGUAGGCGAGAUAUUUUGCGGAAUUGAAGAAUGCAGAGGAGAUGCAGUAACUAGAGGCAGAUGUGAAUGUUGCGGUGCUUCGUUCGCUCCCACCCACCCGGGGCCGAACUUUGUCCCGGGAGGAAGGACUUGCUCGAUCCGUUUGGCGGCGAUCUGCCAACCGAUUGGCCCGAGCUUCGCAGCGAAUCGGACCAAGCUGUGGGCAUAAGUGUGCUGAAUUUGAAGCCCGACCUGGCCCCCCAUGACGCCAAGGUUAAAGUUGUCCAAUGAAAGUAUAGGAAAAAAGAAGAAGAAAAGAGCGAAAUAUAAAUAAAUGGCAAGUUUUCCAAUUCAGAUACUUACUGGUACCAGCUGCUUCCUAUCCACUUCAAAGGUAUUUAUUAUGGGUGGCACAUGUAUAGAAGUGGAAUGUUGGGGUUGCAUAUAUGUGUUCCGACGGAGUUCAUCAAUCAAAAAUGGCUUCUUCCCAUAUUUAGUUACAAAUCCCUUCAUAGUAGAACCUGCAAAGACGAUGAUGACCACAUGAGAUAAGCACUGGGAAAUUUACAAAAUAAAAUGCGGUACGUCCUUCCAGAGACCAGAUUAUUAUAAGUGUGAUAUAUAAGAGAAGCCGAAGAAAAAAAAAACCUGAACAAUGUUCAUUUCUAUCUGAUUUUUGCUCGCCAAGCCAACUACGAGUUUCGAUGUUGCGAAGACCAUAAGCAGCUCUUGGUGCGUCGGGACCUUUCCGCGACAAAUCAUCUCCCAGGUGAGACCGAAGUCCAUUGUUACCAGCAUUAGCAAGUGUUGCAUCAGAGGGAGGAUCAGAACUCGGACGAACAGAAGGAGGCCUGCCGACUUUCUUUCUGAUGAUGUUCUUAAUUGGGGGCCUACCUCUGCGCGGCUUCUGUUCUGGUUCACUGUCAUCACUUUCUUGCCUUAAAUUCUCAAAGUCCUUCUUUGCAAGCUCUUCGAUAGCUCGUGCCUGAACAGAUUAUGCACUUGUUGCUAUCAAUAUCUCAUAAAGCGAUAAAAGUGAUAAUACCGAAAUAAUACUUGAAUUUCGAUCAGAAAAAACAUUAUGCCUAAGAAAGCACGUACCUGGCGGUAGUAGAUUGUAUCUGAAGAAUUGUAGCGCAUCGCGUUUGAGCUUAUUAAGAAAACAUCAUUCUGCAAAUAUAUUAUGUCCAAGUCAAAUUCAUUGAGUUCAUUUAAGAAGCACUUUAUCAAGCAAGAGGAAUGAAACACUAAAUGCCUCACCAUUCAUAAAUAGCAUCAAGCAACAAAGUUAAAGCCAAAAUCUAAAGGACAUGCAACAAGACUACUUAUAUGAAAAUUAGUAGUAGUUUUCCAUAUGACAAGGGCCUUUAACUGCAUUCAACUACUCAUUCUUGCAACUUGCACAAGCAGAGGGCUCCAACAAGUAGCGGCAAAAAGAACUUCACACCACACACUCAAAAUGUUGAGGUAGUGAUAAUUUUGAGUACGGACCAUUGCAAAUCACAACAACAAUCUCAAAAACAGAAACAUGGGCAAAAUUUUCCUCUUUUAGGUUAUGCUGGAGAGUUGCAGCUGACCCACUAAAUAUAGAUAUGAAAACAAGUUAACAAGUUUAAGGAUUUUGUGACUUGAUGGAAUCCUUGCAGGCACAGCAAAACACGCACUUGUUUUUCAGUACUAUAAACCCUCUGGAAAAAAUAAAUAAACAAAAAAUAUCAUACUAAUCAUACUAAUCAGCUAAUACGUAUCUUGGGAAUCACAUAUAGCAAUAAGCAAAACAAACAUCAGCCAAGCUAAUUACCACAACUACCAUUCAGCAUAUAUAGACUAGAAACAGAUAAAACAAUAAAUGCCAACAAAACUGCUACAGACAACCAUGUACAGAAAAAAGUAAUAACAGCAUGGACUAUAAGGACUGCUGCACAAUGAACUAGAUUAGGUGGUCCUAAUUUGGCAUAUAAGUUCAUUGACAAAUACUCACAUGCUAGUGAAGAUUCCAAACCAACUGAGUCCCACUGGUCAAAAUUGGCAUAGAUCCAUAUCAUAUAAUAUUUGCACCAUAAUAUUUCAAAGAUGUCUCUAUAACUACUAAAUUUGGAUAGAGAGCAGAAGCAUGCAUAUUUGGAUAGCAAGAAGUCAUCUAAGUAACUUCAAAGUAAAAAUAUUAGUAUUCUGCAAUGGGGAAUCCCUUCUUGGUCUAGUUUUGCUACCAGAUAGUGGAAACUACUUAUUGUGAAAAUAAAGAGCGGUCCACUAGCUUCUGUGAUUACCAGCCCAUGGGUAAAAUCAUACUUUGUUCAAUCUGCACAAGAUGUUCUUUAACAAUGUCCAUGCUGUACACCACACCUUUUGAGGCUUUUCUUAGGUUAGAAAGUAGAUAAAAGAGAGUUCAUAUAAAAAACAUGAAUUUAUUUCCAUUAUCUCAAUUUGAGGAACCAUGCAUAAGAAAAACCAAUUGUACCUAAGACGAACUUCUUUACUUCCAACCCAUUAGAUUUCAGUAAAAUUGUGCAAAAACAGGCAUUCUCAUUUAACACUUCCAGAAAAAUCCUUCAAUAACAGAACUGGAUAAAUCAAAUAGAACUAGGUAAUUAGACUCCUUUUCUCUUUAUGAGAAAGAGGAAGGAAAAAACAAAAGAAGAAAUACAUGUCCAAUCAAUCAGCAGGAUGUAGAACGUACGGUUAAAGCCACGCUUUAUGGAACUGAAUAAUAUAAAAAUAAUAUGUCCAAUCAAUGAGCAUAUAAAGUAUAGUAAUUUUACGUUGCCAAUAACUAUAAAGAUAAAAUUAAAAUGAUACAGACAUAAUUUGAGGUCAAAAUGAGUAAGAGCAGCAAGAGCUAUUACCAAAUACAAUGCAAAGAUGCAAAUGAACUGGCACGAAGGAUCGAGAAAUUCAAGCAAGUGUUGUAAAAAGAAAUGCUUUCUUACUUUUUCACUUUUCAAUGCCGGUAAUCUCAAUUUUGCCAGAGGAAAAACAAAGUUGUAGAGUGUGCAGUUUUCAGGUAAUUAUGCUUUAGUCUAUGUCAAUAUAAUGCACACUUCUCUCUCAUAAUAUACGUCUCCAAACCUUACAAGAAAUAACAUUUAGCUCAUUCGUCAUGUAGAUUCUAUUUUCUUUCUUUUUCGAGAAAAAAAAAUUAUAUUUACAAUUAAAAUGGAUAAGUUAUACAACGUGCAAACAAAAUUAACUAGAGCAAGAGCACGACCAUUCACAGCAAUAUUGAUUUAUUAGAUUCCACAAGAUGAAACUAUUGGCUUCAAGAAGAUGGGAGUCACUUUACAUGCAAUCUUAGUACCAACCUCAAAUUGCUCCAAAUUCGCGUAAACUCCGUCCGCAAGCUUCUUCCGUAUAGUCGCAAAAUCCAUAGGAUGCUUGAUGAUAUCAUGGUAGUCCGGAAGCUGUACGCAUUCAUCAACAGAUCCUCAUUAAGACCACAUAAUACAAAAUGAUUGAACAAGAACUAUACCGAAAUUACUCAGAAAAAUAAAUUACGGCUACAGGCACGAACCUCUUCAGGAUCAACGGGCUCCGAGAAGACGCCAUAGGUGUCUUUCCUGAUAGUAAACAAGAACACCCAAUUUGAAAAAAAUUCAAAUACUAGGGUCGAAAAAUAACGAGAAAAAGGAAAAGGAAACAGGGGGAAGGGUUAGGAAAAAGCUCCCUGUGGAGAUUGAAAUAAAUAAAGCAGAGCACUCACUUCUGCAGCCUAUCCAGGAUGAAGACCAACAACUUUUUGUCCGGCAAAGAUGUCGUGGGCCCGGGAUCACAUUGCCCUAGCCCCCAGAAAAGAUAAACAAUCAAAAUAAAACUUAAUAGUAAUUGUAUACAAACAUCACCAAAAAAAAAAAAAGCACUAGAAAAAUGAGAUUUUUAUUUCCCCUUUAUCAAAUUAAAAAAGAGCGAGCGCCAAACCUUGAACCCCAUCCGUCGCUUUCGACGCAGAAUUUGGUCCUCCUCUCUGCAAGACAAAAAUUUAUACAACACAGUAAAAAAAUCGUAAUAAAAUUAGAAAUAAUCCGGAAAAAUUAUAGUAGGUGCUAAAAAAUUAAAAGAAAAAUAAAAAGAAACCAUCACAGACAGGGAAAGAAGAGGACAAAAAUCCAAAUUUAUUCUAUCAGUAAACAGUGGAUUAAUGCCGCAAUUAAAAAAUAGUAAGAAAUCAGAGCAGAUAAAGCUAUAUAUUUUAUUUACAUUAAUUUGACGAGAAAGAUCUCAGCAGCCAAUGAUUGGGCGUUGACCUUGUCAAAUCGAAACACUUUUGUGGAAACCAGGAGACCGUUGUUCUAUUAUUUUUUUCUAAAUAAUAAUAAUAAUAAUAAUAAUAAUAAUAAUGAUGAUGAUAAUCCCCACAUAAAGAGCGGAAUCCGAGGGCCCAAACCCCCCGAAUUCGACGCUUUUUUGAUUCCCGGAUCCGUAGCCGAAAUCGUGCAAAAACCCUAAAUCCACUCUCAAAUCCCCCCCUAAAACCGCGAGAUCCGGGACCCAAACCCUACCGAUCCUCUAGAUCUCGGCUUCUCCGAAGCUAAUUAAUUAAGAUCGAAUUAGGCUGAUCCCCACCUGGUCCCGAUCGGCGCCGAUGUCGCCGAUCCUGCGCUUCCUCGCCCCGCCGCCGCUGGAUUCGGCGGAGUUGGAGGGGGAAUCGGGGCCCCGGUGGGGGAGGCGGAGCACGAACCGGAGCUUCUUCUCUCUCCUACCCCCAUCCUCCCCCUCCUCCUCGUCCUCGUCCUCGUCCUCCUCCUCCUCCUCCUCGGCGGCGGGGUCUGGGUUAGGGUUCCGGCGGGUGGGGCGGCGGGAGGGGGCGGAGAAGCGGAGGUGGGGAUUGGCGGCGGCGGCGGCGGCGGGUUUGGGGUCGGGGCUAGGGUUUUGGGAUUGGAGCUUUUGGAGGCGGAGGUUCCGCUUCUGGAGGUCGAGGAGGGAGGGGCGCCCUUUCUUCUUUUUCCGCUUCGUCUCCACUGGCUUGCUGUUGUCGCCCAUUUCGCACGCGCGCCACCCCCCAACCCCUCCUCCCCCCCCACCCCACACACCACCACCCCUCUCUCUCUCUCUCUCUCUCUCUCUCUCUCUCUCUCUCUCUCNUUUUUUUCGUUCGUUGGGUGGUGGAGUUUGUUUCGCGGGGGGGAGGGCGCGUCGCGCACGUGACAGCCGCCUCAGUUUUUUUUUUUUUUUUUAAAAAAAAACCCCCGACCCGAGCAAGCUACGGGGAAAAAAAAAAUUUCAUGAACCGGGUCACAACGUCAUCCAAGAACCGGUCCAUAUUUUCCUAUGGGUAAAAGGGUGUAGGUACCCCCUCACGUACAGUUUUAUCUGAAAUAGCCCCCUCUAACUUUUUUUUUUUUUGUUUUGCUAAAUUACAGAAAACCCUCUAUUAAAAUCUGAUUUUUUACUUUUUUUUUCUAUUAUUUAAAAACCUACACUUUACCUCCUUAUAAAAUAAAAAAUGUUCACUUUACUCCCUACUGUUAGUAAUCCGUUAAUGUUCGUUUAUAAAAUAUUAUUAUAUUUUUUUUUUUAUGCCAAACAUACUCUCAGCUUUCUUUUCUGUUGCCACAAAUGGUGAGGGACAAAAUGGUCAUUUUGUCAUCACAGUUUACACCGUAAUCCUUGUGACCAUUUUUUGUUUUACAAGAGACUAAAGCGUAGAUUUUUAAAUGACAGGAGGGGAAUGUGAAAAAUCGAAUUUUGGCAGGAGAGUUUUAUGUAAUUUAGUCUUUUUUUUUUGUGUUGUAUUGAGACCCCUUAAGCUUUUAGAAGUAAGUGAUUAGACCCAAAAAAAAAAGAGAAAGAAAUCUGAUGAUUUUAUCUAAUUUAUUAGUAAUUUGACCAAAUUUAAUGAAUUUAUUCAGUUUUUUAUAAAUAAAACUAAGCGGUUUAAAGGUUAAUAACUAAUAGAACUAUUGAAUUUGAUAAAAAUUUUAAUUUAAUCGGGUAUAAAUAGUUAAAUUAAAAAACCGAGAAGUUGAGGGGCCAUUUCAGACUUGAAUGUGGUUGAUGGGUGCUCGGUAUAAUUUUGCCUUUCAAAUGUAGGUUGCUUAACCAGUUUAGAUUCUAAUUGUAGAACCUUUGUGGAGCAAUUUUUAUGUAUCCUACACAAGUAAUAUCUAUUUUUAUAUGCUCUAAAUUAAGAUCUAAAACAUUAAAAGUGAUAGAUAUCGUCGUCAUAUAAAUCUAUUUAAAACUUUAGAUAUAGUUUUCUAAGCACCAAGUCAUAUCAAAAUUAAUAAUCUAUAAUAAUUGGCCAUCCCAUAGGAGCUAAGUAGUAAGUUUUUAAAUUUUAUAAGUUUAAUAUGUAGGCUUUAAAUCAUAUCCAUCAUAUCAAAUAGUUCACUUUUAGUUUUUAGGCUUUCUAUAAGGAAUUAAUGGCCUUAGUAUAUGUUAUAUGAGGAAAUAGUUGUUGAUUUUCUUAUACAAAAUUUUUAGUUCUCUUGAAAUUAUUGAUAGUAUUCAAAUAUUUAGAAUUAUAUAAUUACAUUUUUAAAUCUCCAUAAUUAAGCAUAGAAUAAUGGUAUCUCUACACUCCUAGAUUAAGUGUAAAUUCUAUAUCUCAUUCAUUCAUAAACCCCUUUUAAAUCUUAAGAUUAAGAAUGAGUAAAAUAAAGAGAGAACUUCAAAUAUCACCCAUGUGGUUUCACACUUUCUCACUCUGAUUUAGUGUCAUGUGUUUUUAUUUCUAUCUUUUUAUUAUCAAUUUCACUAAUUUUUUUCGUUAUAUCAGUGACAAAAUUAAAACUAAAAAGUACUAAAGUGAAUAUUCGAUAAAUCUAGAUGGUGUAUCUGAAAUUUUUUGUAUAUAAUUUAAUAAAAUAUUAAUGAAAAAACUGACGAAAAAUAAAAAUAAAAUCACAGGAUACUAACUUGAUACACUUUAAACCACAGGAUAUUAAAGUGAGAAAGCGUAAAAUCACAGAAAUAGUAUCUGAAUAUAUUAAUGUGCAAGUAAGGACGAGUAAAAUUUAGGAAAAACUUCAAAAACCCCCUCUGUGGUUUCGUAGUUUCUCACUUUGCCCCCCUGUGGUUUAAAAUAUAUCAAUUUGCCCCUAUGUGGUUUCUUUUUUCUCUUUUUUUUAUCAAUUUCAUUAUUUUUUUUUAAAUCAGUGAUAAAGUUAAAAUUAAAAGGUACUAAAGUGAAUAUUUGAUAAAUCUAGAUGGAUAUCUGAAGUUUUUUGUAUAUAAUUUAAUGAAAUAUUAACGAAAAAGCUACCAAAAAAAUAAAAAUGAAACCACAGGGGGGCAAUUUGAUACAUUUUAAACCACAAGGGAGUGAGAAACUCCGAAACCACAGGGGGUUUUGAAAUUUUCCCUAAAAUUUAUAUUUAUAUAUGUAGAUAUGCAAUGCAUUUUCCUCGAGUACAAUGGACAGGUGUAUGGUGGACCACGGUCCUGGUAAAAUAAUUUCUCAAAGCCUUAGAAAACGUCAGCAUCGGAAACGUAUGCGGACGCGGACGUAACGUUGAGAACGAACGGAUCGGAUGCUCUGAUGUUAGGAUCCGCACACUCUACGUGAUGACCGCUUACGUACUUCUAUGCGGUCCGUAGACGCUUGUCGAUAUUCGCGUACACGCAUGAUUUGGAGCCUUGGGCGUAUAUUAUGUUUCGUCGCAUCACGUCGUAGCUCAAAUAGAAACACCAUUACAUUAACACAACAACACUGUGUGACCAGUUAGUUUAAUACUUGAUAAUUCAAUCCGUGCACGUCUCUUUAAGAGAAAAAUUAAAGUAGAAGCAUGAUUUAGUACCCUACUAUCUAAAUAUAUAUAUAAUGUGUAAGGGAUGUAAAAUUACCUAUUCAGAACGAAUUAAUUUUUAUUCUAUUUUUAGUUAUUAGUUUGAACGCACAAAAAAGAAAUGCAUUUUAAAAUGAGAGGAAAAAAAAAACAAAAGGUGAGCACAGAGUUUUACAUCGGAGAGUUAAACAACACGAAAAUCUUAAGAAAGAUCAACAAAUUAUUUCCGCGCAUCGAGCAAGCCUUGAAGAAGACAUUCUGAGAACUUCUGAUACAAAUACUUGCUUACUCGCGAAGUCAAAACUAGCCAUGGAAUUAUCCCUACCUGCAUUAAGAGAGAGAAAAAAAAAAAAAGGGGGAUUUAAAAAAAAAAAAGAAGAAGCAAAAGCAUAAGUACCACAGUAUAGCAUCACAAAAUAAUGAAACAACUAACAAACAUAAAAAAAAAAAGGGUCCAAAAUGAAGUAAAUCUCCACCAUAACUACGCCAGUGGCAGAAUCUCUAGCUCCCCAGGAAAAUAUCCUCCCUGCAACAAAAGACAACAUGAAUAUAACAAGUUCUAAAUUUGAUGGCAUUAAUGGACAUGACAUAGCUUCGGCGAAAAUUGUGCUUCAACUCGCAAACUUUUACGUAAUCCUCGACCUUUAAACAUACGCACUCGGUUUUUCUCAAUUUUCACUACAAUCCGUAUCCCCCUAGCAGGAUUAAAAGUAAGAGAUAUAAUAAGCAAUUACAUAAGAUCGGGGAGUCGAGUAAUUAAUUUUGAAGGGUAGGAAACAAAGUGAAGAGUUUAGGGACCACAGGUGCAAUCUAGUGCAAAAAUUUUAGACAGAAGCUACCAAAUUGACAAGGAAAAAAAAAAGAAAAAAAAAAAUCUACUUGGUGAUGAGAAAAUAAGGAUCAUUGAUACCGAGCGGUUGCAGUAGAUGUUGAGGAACUGCUGCUACAGGAACACCCCAGUACCGCCAAACGAGUGAAGCAUAGAUCAGCACCUGUUGGAGCAUUCAAUGAUAUGUUCUUCAACAUUGUUAAAUGAAGGAAGAUAAACACUAGCACGCACAUGCACCAAGUAGUACCUUAGAGAUCAUUAGAGUUCUCGAGUAUAGAUCAUAUGACCAUUUCUUUUCCUUAUUAUCCUCCUCCUGCUCUGUAGUAUGAGCGACAAGUGAGCAAAAAAAGUUGAAAAUUCUAGACAAAUGGAAAGAUUAAGGGGCGUCAAACAACUCAUCCUACCCUCAGAAAAAGAAUAAUGGAAAGAGAUUCACUUUGGCUAAGUAGAACAACGGAAAAUUCCUAUUAUGGGUUCUGUCAGUGCAUCCGAAUGCAUGUAAAAGGUUUAUAAUAUGAGAUGAAAGAAAAGAUAUUCCUGAAAAAUGAAUUUAAGCACAAGUUCAACUUUCAACACAACAAAAAUUCUCACACUGUGAAAAAAGUUGCCAGAUAUCAUGUAUUUACCGUCUUCUAAAGCCAAAAGAACAGUGAUUUCCAACAAAUUAAGCAAUCCUAAUCAUAGUUUAUAAGACCGAGAUAGCAUCAAACAGGAAAAAGGUGCAACAAUAGUACAAGGGAAAAUAACAAUAUUCCACCGCUCUUCCAUCCAUUCGGUGUAGGAAAUUCGGCAACUCAGCAAUAAAAGACUUGUAAGAAAAAUCCAUGCCUUUAUGACAUUAGAUAUAUCUUUUAGUAAAUGUGCAUGGAAAAGCAGCAAGUCAACAGGUAAGCACUUCCAUGUUAUAAUAGUUAAGAGGUAUCACUAACUCGCCAAAUUUCUUUAUAAAGAAAACAAGUUCUAGGCAUACUUUUUGCUAGUUCCUUCUCUUUAGCUGCAGCCAGCCGCCUAAGUUUAGCAGCUUGGGCAAAUGUCGAAGGCCUGCAGCAGGACAGAGAAGCAGCAUGAAUAACCACAUGAAAUACUUACGAGUUAUGACAUCCUGACGUUAGGCUAAUGAAAAUGGUAAUAGAUGUUUAUGGCUAGAAGAGAAAUGAGAAAUGCGUAUUAAGCACCAAAUCACUCAAAAGGUUUUGAAUUGCCUACGUUGAUAGGGAGCUGGCGUCUUUCAAAAGUUGUUUGAUUUCCUGUCGCAGUUUAAGUUGUUCACUGCUCCUCGAUCCCCUCUAAAUAAGUGAAAAAAAAGAGUCAACAACUAUAAAAGACAAUAAGUCCAAAAUUAUUAUAUUUACAAGAGAUAGAUGCAAAGAAGUGAUAAGCUGACUAUAUUAAUUUGAAGAGCGAACAAAAAGGAUAAAGAUAAUUUACCGUCUUAUCUAUGAAUGGACACGUAACUUACAUUACUACAGGAGCUAGAUGGCAUGCGAAAUUCUAAUAAACUCCUAAUGGCCUAUUUGACUCUGCCAGAGCUUUUGCACAAGUGUUGCUUGAGUCGAGCAGCUUAAAGAAGACCUAUCAUUUUUCGUUUUCUUGGUCAAAAUACACCCGAUAACCUCCUCUGAAACUUGGCCUUCUGCUUUUUGGUGUCAAAGAGCUCAUUGGCCUCCUUCCUACCAAACGGAAACAACGACAAUGGACUACACGACUGAGCAAAGGGAUGAAUAAUGGCAUGAAUGGACAGAGAUACACAAAUAUUAUGUGCAUUAGGAAUUGUCUUAGCAAGCUCGAUGCCGAAUAAUUUGUCACUAGGAAUAUUUUUGCCGCAUCGUGAUGCGCAAUAUAUAUAUCCUUCAAGGUCAUAUAUGCAGAUAUCUCAGAUGCAACCACACUUGUCAGGGAGACUCAUUGUAGCACUUAAAUACGCCACAAAAUAGCUAAUUGAAGCACAUCAUUGAAAAGUUCGAACCUUAAUGCAGCAACUCAACGCUGCAGCAAUUCGUCGUAAGGCCCUAAUUAGACAAAAUCUUUGAUUAAGGCUAUCAUAUUCAUAAUCAAGGUGCGCACUACAGCGGAUAAAGCAACUCCAAUGCAUGCGUUUAGCACUUUAGCUUGACGUGAAUAAACCCCAAAUCACUGCUGCUUCUUUAAGCCAUGUCCUUAAUCACGGAUCCACCAAUUAAGAUAUCGCAAAUUCGAGAACAAAACCUAAUUUAGGGAUUCCAACUGCGUUAAGCCUUAUAAUGUUCACUAAAAUAAAGAUAAUCCUAAAGAGAAGCCAAAAUCACAAAUAAAAAGCAACCAAAAAAAAAAAAAAACAAAAAUUUCAAUAUACGGAUCAUAAUUCCCCACUAAUUACUCGAAAAAAGCAAAGUAAAAUCUGCAUCGAGCAACUCGCAUCCGUGCGAUUACGGGAAAUGCGAAUGGAACGGAGGGGAUUAGGGUUCUCGCUCACCUUUUUGAGGAGAUCGACGAAUCCAUCGAGGAGUUGCAGGGCGGCGACGAGGAGGAAGAUGGAGAGAGGCGAUAGGGCUCCGCCGCCACCUCCGCCGUCGCCGUCGCCGCCGCCGGCGCCGCCGGCGCCGGAGGCGUCCGCAUAAUCACCGGCCAUCGCGGGAGGGUUCGGGGGGUUUCUAUGGAGAUGCUCGAUGCGAGGGGAAGGAGAAGGGAUCGAGUUGAUAAAAGUGACGCGUUGUUUAAAUUAAUUUAACUUUAAAUUUAAUAGUUUUGAAAAUUAAAUCAAAAAGCUUCCGUAGCAUAGUGGUAGUGCGUUCGCUUCGUAAGCGAAAGGUCGCGAGUUCGAUCCUCGCCGGGAGCUUUUUAAAAAUAAUAAUUUUUCUCAUUUUUAAACUUUUAAAUUUUUUUUGGUAAAAAAUAUAUAGGUCUUGCUUGAACUAUAAGCCAUUUCAAUUUGGCUACCAAACUUUUCAAAUUUUGAUUUUACAUUUUAAUAUUUUGAUUUGUUUGAUUUGAAUAAGUUAAGAGUGCUUUGACUUUAAAAUUUAAGUGCGUCGUUUAUCUUUACAGAUUUAAUAAGUAUAUUUUAUGUAAUUUUCGUAAUUAUAAAUUUAUUGAAGUAAGUAAUUAGCUCAAUUUUUGAAAUCAAAAUGUUAUUGAUGGAUUCAAAUCAAGCAAAUUAAAAAUUUAAAUAAUAAAAUAAAAAUUUUGAAAGAUUUAAUAGCCAAAUCAAAAUGACCAUAAUUUAAGUAAUUUCUAUAUGUUUUUAUCUGAAUUUCUCUUUGUAUGGAAUCAUCUCGAAGUGGGCCCCUAGGCCCAAAUGAGGCCCAAUUUUUCUACACCAAAAGGAAAUUUUAACAUUUCAGAAUUUUGUUUUUUUUUUUUUCUUGUUUGCUAUCGAGUCUAUUUUUAUUUUCUCGUUUGUUUGCUUAUGUAAAAAUAAUACGGCAUCUUAAGUUUUGAUGCAUCACCAAUUAUAAUACCAUUAUAUCACUCAUAAAUUAACAAUAAUAUUUAAUCAACUAAAUUACGUUAUAUGACUUAAUUAUAAUAAAUUAAAAUGUAAGAACUGUACAUGUAAUUUAUUCAUCAAAUUAUUUCAAAUCUUAGUAUAAUAAUUAUUUUUUUUUUUUUGGUCUCUCAUUCAUAAACAAAGCAUAUAUGUUUAUAGUCAACAUGGCACAAAUGUUCAUAGCCGAGCUCGUGCGCUACACUCCGCCACGUAGCCAAACAACUUGGACUUAAAAUAAUAUAUAUAUAAUAUAUAUAGUGAAGUUACUCGCCCAUUGCGGCAGGCUAAUAUUAUAAAAAAAAUAUUCACAAAAUUAAAAUUUUAAAAUUUUUUAACUUGUCACGAGACAUCAAUAAAUACAAAUAAAAAAUAUAAAACAAGUAUGUAUAAAUAUAGCCAAACUUAUAAUAGCAAAUAAAUUAUAUGUAACAAUAAUAAAAGAACAGUAAUAGAGUUCUUUAUACGCACCUUAAUCGCACUGUCGAGAUCGAAAAGGUGAUUUUCGUUCUCCAUGUGGCCUCCGCCGCUAUUGUCGGGGUCAAGUUUCUUCUUGGUCACAGCCACGUUGAUGCCGUAUGGAUCCCCCACGCCCACCCCUUCUUUUCUCUCAUCGACUCCAAAUCCAUCGCACUUCACCUCGCCGCACAGCUGCGAUCCUCGAAACCCUACUUUCAAUCCCCACACAAUUAAAAAAAACUAAAAAAAUACAAAAAAUGAACCCUUCUUGUGUACCAAAAAAAAAGCAAAAAAAAGUGAUAAAAAAAAAGAGUAUAAACAGAUCUUAUUUUUCUCUUUUUUUAAAAACAAUUUAUUUAGAUAAAAUGGAUUAUGUGAAUACAUCAGGCAGAGAUGAAGGUGGAAAGACGAAGAACCAGAGAAUGAAAAAAAAAAAUGAAGAAAAAAUUGACAGGUGGCAAACUCUAUAAGAAAUAAUAUAUAGAUAAGAUAAAAGUAUAAAUUUUGAUGGGCCCCACAACAUUAUUAUUAUUAUUAUCAUUAUUUAGAUAUAAAAAUGGCGCCAAAGUGGGAGGGACCGUGCGGAAAAGUAACAACCAACUAACCGCCUCUCCCGCGUGAGCUGUACAUUCUCUCAACAGGGUUCUAAAUCAUUAAUAAUGUUUACAUGAACAAAAAUUAUUAAUAACUCUACUUUUGUUAAUAUAUUCUCUAAUAAGAGAAUUCUAAUUGCACUAUUUAAAGCCUCAAAUAGUGAUCUAAAACUGCAUGAUGAAUAUAUAAAUAUAAAAAAAUAUCCUUCUAAAAUGAUAUUAGAGUAGAAGAUCAUCUAUUCGAGUUUGCAUUAAAAUUUAUGAAAAAAAAUGAAUUUUGGGAGCUAAUGAAGCAAAAAAGCUAUUUCCUCAGGAAGUACAAAAGCUUUUCCUCUUGUAUGAACACCAUCUUUCUCUCUAUGUGCCAUUUCCAAAGGUCAAACAGGUACAUUACUCCCUUUUCUUUUUUUUUUUUCAUCUUAAUGUUUACUUAUUACAAGCAUUAAAUUGUUACUUUGCUUCAUGAAUUUAGUUUCCUGUGUUCAUAAGCUUUCCUCAAUUUGUGUGCAUUAACUUGAUGAGGACUUAUUACACAGAUUAGAAAGAAAAACUAUUUUCUGUGUCCUGAUAAUUGUGGUGAAAAUUGCCUCUUUUAUGCUUGAUUAUUUGAAUACUUUACGAUCUUAAUGCAGUUUUUUCAGAGUACUUUGUAUUUCAGAUUCAAAUCAGAGUCCUCUGACACAUCAGAUCAAGAAGGUGCCAUAUGAGACCAAGGGUUUCCUCAUGGCGAAUAUAUUGCAGUACUGUGAUGUAAAUCAAGAAGGUCUACAUAGAAACUUGGCCCAUCAAGUAAAAAGAGAUGGUGAGAAUUUACUACAUAAUUAAACAUCAUUUGAUCUUGUAUUUUUGGGGCAUGCUUGCAUUUUGUUGCUUGUUUUGAACUCAAAUUCUAUGCAAUUGAAUACAAUCGCAUCGAAUUUGAGUUAAACAAGAAAUAGCAAAAUGACACCUUAAUGUACUGGGGAAAGAAAAUAUUGGUUGUUCUUUGCCAUUUUUUUUUUUAAAUUUCUGAAUAGAUCUGCUCUGCUUAUAAAUGCUGAAACGGCGAGUUUAAUUAUUUGUAGGCUUUGAAGCUCCUCGGAAUAGCUUGGGUUUUCCAAAUGAAGCAUCGAAGAUGCCGCACUUCAUUAAUGAUUGCAUUCCGGUAAGUUGGUUGCUGUAAUUCUCUGUCAGAGAUCAGGACUUUUUCGAUCGAUGCGAGUUGUUUAAAUAAAAGCUGUUUAUUUCUUUCACAUCGCAAAAAAAAAAAAAACUAAAUUUGAGCUAAAAGUACUCUUUCCAGUUGCUGCAGCACUAAGUCAGUUACCCUUCCAAAGAAACUGCUGCGAAGAAGCCGAUCGACGAUGAUACGCCUAACCGAUCAAAUGGAAGAACCAAUCCGCCAAACGUCAUCGCUCGUUUGAUGGGCAUGGACACGUUGCCGUCACGAAGAAACGCAAUGAUCGAUCGAAAAGUGUCCAAGGCUCAAAUGUUAGGCCCUAACAUUGCGAGCAGUAAUAAAAUCGACCGUAACUCACCUACCUCAGCUCUGUCGAAACAAAUGAAAUGUACCUUACUUUCCUACAAUGCGAAGCGAGAUUUGACCCGACCGCACAAUAAUCGGAGGCCGACAAGCAUGCCGCGAAAGGACCAUCCCCAAGAAGAGCAAUUACGGAAGUUCAAAAAGGACUUUGAGGCGUGGCAAGCAUCUGAAGUGUUGGAGAAUCCGAAGCCCCUUGUAGUGGACUAUAACUUUCAUAAAGGAAAGUACGUCCAAAUCCUCGCGCAGGAAAAUCUUAACAAAGUAAAGAUGGGUAGAUACGUUGAUCCGAAAAGAAAUUUAGCUCCGAAGGAGCAUUCGGAAGCAAAUGAAAACUUCUCGGGUGCUCAGAGGAAGAAUGACAAGCGAUGUCAGAACGACUUGCAAGAUGGCAAUCAUAAGCAGUUUGCAGAAGAAGAAGAAGACAAGGUUGAUUCUUCGCGUACGAGGAUAGUGAUUCUAAAGCCUAGCUUCGAAAGAAAAGUCAAUGUAGAAUCACGGCUUGGUUCAUCGGAGAUUUUAGAAGAAGUUCGCAGUAUGAGAGAUUUUCUCGAAGAGGUAAAGGAGCGGCUGAAACUUGAAAUACAAGGGAAUCCAACUAUUCGGACUACUAAACGAGGGACUCGGCCCGAGACUCUCCAUACCCCUCGACAAAUUGCUCAUGACAUAGCAAAUCAAGUAGGAGAAAGUGUUGUGAGAGAUAUUGGCAAGAAACUUAUGCGAUCAGAAUCGAUGAGAUCGUCGUACAAAAGUGAUUUCCUAAUAAAUGGACCUGAUUCUCCGGUUUUCGACAGAGGAGGUGCGAAAAAUAUCUUGUCAGAGAAAUUAAAGAAUGUCUUCGCAAACGAGGUUUCAGAAUCCUCCCGCAUGAUCAAAAGCAGGGACAGAUUGAAAUCAAUGCCCGAUCUCUCAAAUAUUAGAUGGAAGGAGAAGAGAACUGCGAGUGAAUCAGCAUCUAAGCACAAGAAAGAUGACAUUUUGUUAUUCGAUUCUGAGGCAGUGUCGCCACGCAACCUUGUUAGAUCAUUUUCCGCCCCUUCAUCUAGACGCGCUUUUGAGAAGCCUUUUUUAGAGGAUUCUCAGAUUGAGAAGCGGCGUGAAGCAUCUGAAACUACAGCAAAAGAGACAAAGAAGAAUAGGAAGGACAGUUUCAGCAUUAGAAGUCAAAUUUCAAAUUUGAAACAAAACUUCAAUCUCAAAGGGAAGCUAUUUGGGAAGAAGACCCAUUCAUUGAAAAAGCCGAUGGCGGGUGAAUUUGGCUCCAUGAACAUAAUCAGGACCAUACCAUCAGCUAUCAUAAAUGCUGCGAUUACGCAGGCAAGCACCAUGAUCAUAUCUAUGUAUUACUUAUAUGUGACAACAUGUUGGCGAUUUAUACGAUUUUUCUCUUUCUUUUUCACAGGAAAACAAUACUGAGGUUCCUCCAAGCCCCGCAUCAGUGUCUCGCAGUGUUCGCGACGAAAUUCGCACAUCGGAAAACCCUAGUCCGGUGUCUCCCUUGGAGGUUCAUGUUACAGAGAAUCAGCCUUCGCCGCCGCGCUUUUCGAAAGACCUAAAUUGUAACCUUCCAGGUAGGAGUGGUUACAUAUUGGUGAAAUGACAUAGAUCUGACCUGAACUAUUGGUUAUGAAAUUUUACGGCCUAGCAUUUCAUUACUUUUGACUUCAGAAGAUUUCAAACAUUUUCGAUACAUUUAUACGUACGUAAAAUGAUUACGUAAAACACUUUUGCCACUUCUAAUCUUUGCAUUGGAUCUAUCUCAGAGCUGAGCCAACUCGAUCGAGUCAAAAACAACAAACAAGAAGUGAUAACUGCAGAACAGGAGGAUUCCGACAACAGCGUAGUCGAGAUUGAAAGCCACGAACAAGCUUAUGUUAAGAGUAUCCUUGUCGCCGCUGGUUUAUAUGAAAACAGAUCGGUCGAUCAAGCUAAUGCGAGUCGGAAAAUCCCUAUCUCUAACCAAGUGUUCGAUGAAGUCGAAAAAUCCUACAGUAGAUAUUCGAAAGCAGAUAAUGAAGAUUCCUUUCUGCAUCAUGGUAACAUUACUGUAGGCCACAAACUGCUAUUUGAUUUAGUGAAUGAGGCUUUUAGUAGCGCGUCGAAUAUUCCGAAGGAUAGCUCUACAUUUAGAAGAUGGGUCAUAGGCCGUGCUACGGUGCCCCACGGCAAGCGAUUGUUCGACGAUAUAUCGGAUCAGAUCCAGAUUUAUGGAGACCCGCAAACCAAUGAAAUGCGAGCUAUCAAUCGCAUGCUGUCCCGAGAUGUGAGAGUGGCUACCAGUGCUGCAACUUUGUACGAGAACAUCGAAGUCUCGGGGAAAAAGAUAGAGUGCGCGAUUCUGGGGGAGUUGAUUGAUGGUGUUGUGAAGGAUAUGCUCCUUUAGCAUUUCGCAAACUUGGGCUGUUUGAUUUUUCUUUUCAUUGAUGAUUUCGUAUGCUACACUAAUUCUUUUCCGAUCGACUUCAUAUGCACUGAAACUAUCAAAACUGAAAAAGACAGAAGCAGAAUCAGAUGUAAAGGAUAGCGAAAACUCUAUAAGCGCGUUCAUAUGAAUGAGAAUCGAGUACAUUACUGGUAUAACGGAGCGGCGCCAACGUGUGUAGGAUGUUUCAGAUGGAAUUUUAUGCAUAAGAGAUCGACGCAGAACUCGAUUACUACAGGGAUCGCAUUCGUUUAGAGUAGCACAAUCAGGUUAGUUCGUCGAAGCCGUCUCCUUUUGUUUUCAGGUGAAUGCUUCAAUUUCCUGCAAAUCUUGUACACAUGUUAUGUGACAUGAAUUACUUCACUGCUGUGCAUCAAACACUUUCUGAGGAUUAUCUUUUUCUUACUGAAAGAGACAUAAAUUUAAGUUGUGAAACUGUUUAUAUCUGUUAUUUGAACAUAAAACAUGUUAUUAGUGUUCUAAACUCAACUGCAUGUUACAUCUCUAACUUUGUCUCAUUUCAUGCAUAUUACAGCUGAUAUAACAUUCUCUUUGGCCUUGUAAAUAAUAGUAUAGAUUCUUCAAUUAAGUUCACCAGAUUCAACUUGUUUUAAUUGAGUCACAAAGAAUAUAUUUUCGUUAGUCAGCGGAUUUAAUUAUCUUUUUAAACUAAUGGAAUGACAACAAUAAACUUGGUGUUAAACAAAUCAAAGAGGUAGGUAUGGCAAAUUAAAACUAGGAGAAUAGUGGAUUGGUGCUUGGGGUGUCAUUUUGAAUGCAAUUUUUCAUACAUAUAUUUUAAUAGUAUAUUGUAUUGGUCAAGGAAUUUUUAUGCAUUUAACAAUUAAUCACAAAGAAUUUUGUUCUAUUUGUAUAAAGAUAGGAAAUAUGUUGAUUAUUUCCAAAGAAUUAGGGAUUACUACCCCUUACAUAUUUUGAACCACUAAAAGGGCGGAGUAAAACUGCAAUUAGCCCUGAUGUAGUUUGAAAAGUUGCAUUUUACUAUUUGAUGGUUGUUGACGCUAACAAUUAAUUCCAACAACUCGAGUUGUUAAAAAUAUACAACCAAUUCACUUAAAGUGUACAGACACAACGCUUACAGGUCUUGAUCUUGACUCGGCCUAACCACGCCACUUCAAACGUGACUCGGCCCAACCCGACCUUCCGUCAUUUUAAUUGUAACUCAACUCAACUCGGCCUCCCGCCACAAGGCAGGAUACUAAUGCUUACAGGUCUUUAUCUUUCUUUCGUCAUAAGAAUCUACCAUUAAACAUAGAAUAGCUGAUAUAUUCUACAAACUAUAAGAUGACAAAAUAAAAUGUUUUAAUAUCUUAUGAUUUGCACUUCACCACCAAAACAUCGACUACCAAAGAGGUGAAAAUGUACAAAGGAAAAAAAAAAAAAACUCUAUUUGUUUCCACACACAUUUGGGACUCACUGGAAAACGGUGAAGCAUAUCUCCGUAUACUUUUGCUCCAGCUUUGUUUCAUCUAAUAGCGUCAGAUGGACCUUUACCGACCAUAUCGGUUGGGCCAAGCCUCAGCGAAUGUAUCGGGCCUUUGAUGGGCUUAUGGGCCUGGCCCAUUACGAAGCCCACUUACCACCACAUAUUCAUUUCCUAAGCUAAAAGCAUAAUUAGGCUUUGUUUAAUAAUCCUUGUUACAAAAUAAAAUAAAAUAAAAUAAUUAAAGUAAAAAACGUCACCUAAUAAUAACUUAAAAUUUGGCCGGUGGAGACGCCGCACGUCGCACAUGACUUGUCGGUGUUCUUUUAAACACGCUUUCCUUAAUUUAAUGAAGCAAAAAAGAAAGGAAAUUUUUUUUAUAAAAAAACAAAACAUCACAUAACAAAAGGAUUGUCUCCUCUCAUGUUGAUGAUGAUGAUUGCUUUUGGGGUCAUUAAGGUGCUAUUUUAUGUCCUCUAUUAUUAUUAUCAUCAAUGUUUUUGGGUAUAAUCCGCUGUUCGAGCGGCGCCACGCGUCGUGGUUUGCUCAAAUCCACAUGCUGCGCACGGCGCGGCGUGAAAUUAUUUAUUAUUUUUUAAAAAAGAUUAAGUUUUCUGCGUAAUAGUUAUUUCAUAGUACUGAACAGACUAAUGCAUGCAUGUAGCGCACCGCUUAAGCAUGUGCAGAGCAAUCUCUCAAACUAUCCAUUAAUUUCAUAUUCGAUCAAUUAUAUUACAUUUUAAGUUAAAAUUAAAAUGAUGAUUAAAAGGGUAUAGGCGAAUUUUUAUUUUUUUUCCUUAAAAAGUAUGAUAAGUUAAUUCCCUUGAGAAAUUCUCUUUGGUUCUGAUCUAUGCUCUUUGAAUUUGAUUCUUUUUCUUUUGUUUUUUUAGUGGACACUGUCUUAUUUUUUUAGUCAUUUAUUUUUAUUUUUUUCUCCAAGUUUCAUUAUGUUAGUAUGUCACUAUUAUUUAAGUAUAAAUAUUAUGAAAAUCUGACACCAAAUUUAUAGGAAAUCAAAGGAAAAUUUUUUUUGAUCCUCUGGAUUAAGAUAAGAUUUAUGAAUAUAAAUCUAUUUUAUUGUUAGAGUGGUGGUUUAUUUUUGUUCAUUUUGGCUAACCUAAUAAUCAUAACAUUUGUAUAAUAUAAGUGCAUGAGCUUGGAAUAUGAGCUUAAAUUCAUUUUUACCCUCGAAAAAAAAAAAAAAACUAUACAGAAUAGUUAGUUGUUAAACAAAAAAACUAUUUGUAAAAUCAGGGGUUUAAUUUCCUACUAGUAUAUUAAAAAAAAAAAAAGAAUUCAUGCCACCGACUUCUCAAAUUAUAUAUAGGCUUUAUUAUAGAUUAAUUGUUGAUACGGUGAUAAAAUAUAUUUUCUGUACUUUUAAUAUACAAUAAAUAAAUAUAUCUUUAUAUACUUUCGUCCCACCUGCUUAAUUCUCACUUGAUAGCGUGAGAAUCAGUUCUCAAAAUUAAUUUUUUUUAUUGGAUAAAAUGCCUAAAACAAAUAUUUUUUAAAAAAAUAAAAAUAAAAAUAAUAGUAUUUUUUCUCCAAAAUUCUAUGGUAGUGGACUCAUAUUGAAGAGUUGAUUGGUAGGUAAAGAAAAAGCUCUCAUGAGAGGGACCAGUGGAUGAUGAGCCACAAAAAGUGGAAGCAGGGUGGAAUACACAUUUCAAUUCCACACCUAAUGGCAUGUAGAAAUUGUCAAAGUGCCUCAUCAUGCCCCCCCUCCCCCUUCUAUUCUAUGACUAUAGUCUAUAGGGAAUAUUAAAAAUACGUAUAAGCCUUUCUCUAGCUUCUUUCUCUCUCUCUCUCUCUCUCUCAAAAAAAAAAAAAAAAAAAAAAAAAAAAAAGGAGCUUUAGCUACAAUGCCUCAUGUUUCUAUGGAAGGGAAUUAGGUCUAACUUUAUAUGAUAGUAAAAGAUAGGUGAGAUUUCAAAAAGGGUUGUGUUUUGGCUAUGAAAUGAUGGGUCUUGUAUAUCGUACAAAAAGAUAAAAUCAAUUAUUUCAGUUCAGACUCUACUUAAUAGAAUCCAGCUAUUAUUCUUUUAGGAUGACGAAAAUCUUCAUCCUCUAAGUCGUUUUAGAUGAUAAUAAAAGAUAGGUGAGAUUCCAAAAAGGGUUGUGUUUUGGCUAUGAAAUGAUGGGUCUUGUAUAUCGUACAAGAAGAUAAAAUCAAUUAUUUCAGUUCAGACUCUCCUUAAUAGAAUCCAGCUAUUAUCCUUUUAGGAUGAUGAAAAUCUUCAUUCUCUUAAGUCGUUUUAGAUGAUAAUAAAAGAUAGGUGACAUUCCAAAAAGGGUUGUAUUUUGGCUAAUAAAAUGAUCGGUCUUGUGUAUUGUACAAGAAGAUAAAAUCAAUUAUUUUAGUUCAGACUCAACUUAAUAGAAUCCAGCUAUUAUUCUUUUAGGAUGACGAAAACCUUCAUCCUCUAAGUCGUUUUAGAUGAUAAUAAAAGAUAGGUGAGAUUCCAAAAAAAGUUGUGCUUUGGCUAUGAAAUGAUAGGUCCUGUAUAUUGUACAAGAAGAUAAAAUCAAUUAUUUCAGUUUAGACUCUCCUUAAUAGAAUCCAGCUAUUAUUCUUUUAGGAUGAUGAAAAUCUUCAUUCUCUUAAGUCGUUUUAGAUGAUAAUAAAAGAUAGGUGAGAUUCCAAAAAGGGUUGUAUUUUGGCUAUGAAAUGAUCGGUCUUGUAUAUUGUACAAGAAGAUAAAAUCAAUUAUUUCAGUUCAGACUCAACUUAAUAGAAUCCAGCUAUUAUUUUUUUAGGAUGACGAAAACCUUCAUCCUCUAAGUCAUUUUAGAUGAUAAUAAAAGAUAGGUGAGAUUCCAAAAAGGGUUGUGUUUUGGCUAUGAAAUGAUGGGUCUUGUUUAUUGUACAAGAAGAUAAAAUCAAUUAUUUCAGUUCAAACUCUCCUUAAUAGAAUCCUGCUAUAUAUUAUCCUUUUAGGAGGAUGGAGACCUUCGUCCUCUAAGUCGUUUUAGAUAAUAAGAAUUUCAAAUUAAUGAUUGGAACUGUUAAAGUUGAUCUAGAGUAUUUAGAGUAUCUAGAAAUUAAAUUUCAUGAAUUUUAAAAAUUAUUUACGUAGUGAUCACAGGAUCACAAAAUUGGCAGUUUUUUAUGCCUUAUAUGAGCCAUUUGCUUGUUUAACGGCAUAGAACAAAUCAAACAGCUUGAGUUUUUGAUGAAAAUUUUUUUUAUACUAUUUAGAUAACGUUUGAUAAUUCUGAUCAUAAAAUGAAAGUCUAAUAUCUAUUUUCAUAAGAUUAUUCGUUUUUGACUGUUUAUUUUUCGACUCUUCAAUAAACUUAAUGACGAAUUUUAAAAUAUAUGAAAUUUAGUUUCUAGACAUUAUAAAUACUCUAAAUCAACAUUAACGAUUCCAAUCAUCAAUUCGGAAUUCCUAUCAUCUAAAAUAACUUAGGAGGACGAAAGCCUUCUUUGUCCUAAAAGGAUAGUAGCUGGACUCCUAUUUAAUAUUUUUUUCCUCUAAAAGCUUACAUUAAGUUAGUAAAGAAUGUUAUUCUCAAACAAAAAAAAAAAGUUAGUGAAGAAUGAUGUAUAUUUAAAAUUUUCCCUCCUCUCUAGACUCGAAGCUUUUUAAUAGGCCAUGACAUGAAUUUGAAUUAAAUUGAAGAAAAUCAAUUAUGUUAGAACUCAAGUAUGACUCGAGCUCAGAACCUCUUACUUUAAUAUCAUAUUAAAUAAUCUGAAACAAUCAUUAUUCUCCAAAAACUUAAUUUAUCAGAAAACAACAUUUCUAUACUUUAUAUUCAACAAGUAGAGCUAGAAUACUUUAAUAAGAAAAUAAAGCCGUUUACCUUCGUGUCAUUUUCGGUGGCGGAGCAUAUGAAUUGACAAUUAGCUCCAUUUAAUAUAAUCGAAGCUAUUUGAACCUUCUACGUAUGAAUAGAAAUUUAGGACUUCACACCAUCAUUUGCCUCGUGAUCAAGUGGUGUAAAAUUCAACUUUAUAUUAACUGUUAAAAAAUGUUAAUUUUUGAACCACGUGAAAUAUAUGCAAAUAAUAUCAAAAAAUUAUGAAACUUAGAAAGUUCAAAUAUUCAUAUUGAACGAUACUGAUCAUUAAUUUAUAGAUGCUCUAUCGUCAAAAACGACGUGAAAAUAAAUUACCUCAAUUAAUUCUGAAAGUAUUUUAGCCUAAUUACUCGUGAAAAUAAUAUUAUUUUUUAUAUAAGUGUUGUAUUAAGUAAACCUUUUAAUUUGAAAAAUGAUAUUACUUCAGUACAAUAUCUUCAGUGGAACUUUAUAUUGAACUUAUAAAAAAUUAAACUUGCAUAUUAAAGCCUUAUUUGGUAAUGGUUUUAUGUUUCUGAUAUUCAAGUAUUAAUUAUGUGAUUCAAUGCAUGUGUCACACAUAUAUACUUCUCCACCUUUGUUUCUGUUAAUAAGUUGCGUUUGAUAUGCUACUUAAUUGUUUUUGUUUUUUUUUUUUUCACUUUUUGAUUCCAAAACAACAUUAAUCCUCAGGUGUAUAAAUUACAAGCAUCUUUUAUUUGUUAAUCUAUUUUAUAAAAUUUGAGGUUGAAAGGAGUGAAAAAGUACAAAAUUAAUAUUAAACAAGACCCAAGUUUUCGAUGUUAAGAUCUAAAAAGUGCACCCAUUUUUUGUGCUAAUUUAAGUUCCAUUAUUCCUCGCUUUUUAUUCAAUUGUUUUAGAAGCUUAGUCAAAUAGAACAAAGCAAGAUAAGAAAUAGAUUUUUUUUUUUUUUUUUUUUUUUUUUUNUAUUCGACCUAACCAAAUAUGAAUAUGUUCAAAAAAUAGUGAGGCAAAUCCCAGGAAAACAAAAGGCAUAUUCCUACAAGCAUAUAUACUCCUCAAUUAAUUAAUUUAUUAGCUCCCUCGUUUUUUUUUUUUUUUUAAAAAAAAGACUACAAUGAAAAGAGCCUUGAUUUUUUUAUUAUUUUCCCAUAUUUUAUGUCUCGUCCCAAAUUAGAAUUGAAAUAAAAGCCACGAAAAAAGGUGGAUUAAUUAAUUUUGAGCAUAUAUAGUUGUUGUAAAAGGAUGCUUUAAUUAGCUGGGUUAAUGCUAACCCUAAUUCGUAAUAAGUCAACAAUGCUUUAUAUUUGAUUGGAUAACGUUUUCAAAUUAGGAGGCGCCGUAUGUUUUUGUGUUAUGCGUGAAUAAGCCAUGUAGCGUUACUGUGUACGUGUCAUUUUCUCCAAAAUAACAGUGUGAGUGUCCGCAUUUGUUGGAGGAUAAGUUUUACACACGUAGAAAUUUAUUUUUUUAGAUUAAAAAUUUUUUUUUUAAUGGAAAACACUUUUCACGUAAAUAGUUAAUUUUUAGAUUCACGCAUUCAUUAAAUAGUUAAUUUUUUCUACCAAAUUCUCGCCAGUUUAACCGGAUAAUGAGUUUUGUGUUAAUCUGCUAUAAAAUUACUCUUUACAAGUUCAAAUUGAGAAUUACAAAUCAAAUAAACCUUGGAUAUGGGGAAGUUCAAUAUGUAACUUAACCUGGUAUCAAAGAAAAAGUGCUGAAUAUGAAUAUUAAAAAUAUACUGGAGAGAUUUCUAGAGUGUCAAAUAUAAUCUAAAUUACUUUAUUUUAGUUGGUCCCAACCAAGUAACUAACAUUUAACACAUUCAAACUAAACCCUUUUUGACUAGUAGUACGUGAUAGUGCCAAACCAUGCUUUAAUUAGUUUUAACUUGACUUAAUCUAUAUAUAUAGCACUAAAACCUAGAGGUGCAUGCAUGUUUAAUUACUAUCCAUUCACAUUCCAACUGAAUCUAAUGAAAAAGAUGGGAUUAGCAAUAAUUAAUUAUGUACCAAGGGAAAGAUAAUAUGUAGGCAUCAAUCCACAUGCUCUCCAUCUUUAUUUAAUUAUUAUCAUUAAUUUGCCCUAACAUGGACUACUUUGGAAUUUAACCAACCUAAUCUAAUUAUGAUGUACUUUAAUAAGGCAUAGGUCAAUGAAGUAGGCCAUAGGGUGGAGGCUAACAUUUGUCCUUCACAAGGAAUUCUAAAAUGUUUGGAGGACCCUCCUAUGUAUUUAAGUUAAGUGCUUAUUCCCUCUUGCACACCUAAAACAAUAUUUUUAUCUCAAAAAAUAAAAAAUAAGAAAAUGAAAGAAAAAGAAAAAUACUUUCUGUACACUUUAAAAUAGAGUGUAUAUCUUACAACUCUAUUAUCUCAGAAUUUAAAUUUUUUUUUUUGAAUUUUAAGUAUGAAAGAAUAGAUAAAAUAAGUGAGUAAAUUGUCGGUUUUAAAGAAACUAAAAUAUAAGAUUUAAAUCUAUAUUACAAAUGUACGUAUAGCAUUGCUUUAAGAAAAAUGCCAUGAAUUUUCUAAAAAGAUGGUCUCAUACAUUUUAAUGUGUCGGCAAAUGAAUAUAACAUUCUUAAACUGCAUUCGUGAAUUAAUAAAAAACUUUCAUAUUAUUUAUGUCAGCAUAUCAAUAAUCUAUAAAUACAAUAUUUAAGAAGGCCUAUAGCAGCAAUACUCCAAACCUAUAAUAAUAAUAAUAAAAAAAUUAACUUUGUUUUGAGAGAAUCUAAAAUAAAAUAUUAUUAAUUAAAGUUAUGAGAUUGAAAAGAACAUAAAAAAGGCGGUUCAAACAUGCACUUCUGAACAUAGUUUUCUAUCGAAAAAUAUUUUAUUAUCCAAAUCAUAAUUAACAAUUUGGAAGUUUUUGUUUUUUUAAUAAACACUAUUAUUAGUACUUUUACUAAAACUCUAAUGCUAAAUAAAUCAUUAAAUUUCUCACAUAGCUUCAUAUUUAGUUUAAUCGUGAACUUAACAAUACCAUCUCUAAAUAUAUUUAUGAAAUAUAGGAAAUGAGUUUUUUGGGAUGGGAGGAACUUUUGGAAUCAUUUGCUUGUUAAAGAAUAUAUAUAUAUAUAUAUAUAUAUAUAUAUAUAUAUAAGACUAAAAGACAUAACUAACAUAAAAAUAAAUACUCUAGCAAGAAAGAUGAGGCAAUAUAAUGAACUGAAACACACACACACAAAAAAAGGGAAUAAGAGCCACGACGCCUUCACCGAUGAGGCGUCAAUCCGGGACAGCCCCAAAUCGUUUUUGAUGUUGCGACUUCAGAUCGUCGAUCGCUCUGUUAAACUUGAUCUAGAGUAUUUGUAGUACCUAGAAAAUAAAUUUUAUAUUUUCGAUAUCAUUUGCUAGUGAUCGAAUGAGCUCAAAAUCAACAAUUUCAAUGGCCGUAAUGCACUUUUGCAAGUUUAACGGUGUAGAAAUAUCCAAAUCACGUGAAAUUUUGAUAGAAAAUUCUUUAUACUAUAUAAAACAAGAUCAAUAUCUUUGAUUUAAAAUUUUAAUGUCAUAUUAUUAUAUUUUGUAAGAUUUUUAUUUUCAGCCGUUGAUUUUGUGCCCCUUCGUUCACUAGGCAAAUGAUAUCGUAAAAUCAUAAAAUUUAUUUUCUAGGUACUUCAAAUACUCUAGAUCAAGUUUAACGGAGCCGAUCGACGAUUCGAAAGUCGCAACAUCGAAAACGAGCUGGAAGCACGGAAGGCUCCGUGCUUCCGAUAGCAUAGUAGCCUCACUCUAUAUAUAUAUACCGAGACCGGAAUACUAUCAAUAGCACCAAACUAUUGGUGUUAUUAGAUUUUCGACCUUUAGAUGAAUAAAUAUACGAUUAGAAUAAUGUGAGCCCCCUAAAGUUGAGUGAGUUAUUGGUUUAUUAAUAUAAUUUAACGGAUAAAAAUAGUCAAAAAAUUAAAUCUAACUGUAAAAAAUUUGAUAGUACCAAACGUUUCAUGCUAUCGAUAGUAUGAAAGACUCUAUACUCAUAAGAAUAUAGUAACCCUUAUAUAUAUAAAAGAAAGGACUCCAUAAUUCAAAGUUAGUUGUGAGUAAUCUACAGUUUUUUGUAGUGGUGACAAAAUUAUGAGUUAGAUACAGGCAUAGAAGAACAAAAUAAUGCCACCAAUUUGUUGAAUCACACUAAAAGAAACUUAAUAGUUUUUUAAUUAGAUUUUGAUAUUUCUAACUGCAAUAGUGAGAAAAAUCUAGCUAAAGACAAAGAGGGAGGAAUCCAUUGGAGAAACCUUUGAAACUUAUUGCACUACAAAUUAGACAUAUUUUGUCUCCUUCUCUACACUGUCCUAGACUUGUCAUCUUUACAAAUCACACAUUUUUAUGCUCCACACAACGCCGUGUAUUAAACUAUUAAUUAUUAAUUAUACCCAUAAUUUGAGAAUACUAUACUAUACAAAUACCAUUUGAUUUGAUGACCCAUAAUUUCAAAAAAAAUGUUCCUUUUAAAAGUCAAGUCUUUUUUUUAAUUUUUAUUUUUUAAUUAAGAAUGAUCCACUAUUGCUGUGUAUUGUCCCUGUCGUUAUCAAAUCUCUUAUGAUCAUAUGCCUUACAAUUGAAAAUUCUGAUGGGUCAACUAGUGACCUAAAAAAUCUGAGACGUACGUAUACCGUGGGGUAAGGACUAAGGAGUAUUAAAUAAUUAUUUAUCAAAAAUAAUAGCGAUAAAUUUACUAAAGUAAUCAUACUUUUCAUGUGUUAUUGCCACUCAAAAAAAAAAAAAAAAAAUCAAUGUUUGGUAAUGUCCUCAAUAAUUCGAAAUACCUAAUCUGAGGUGGAAUAUAUAUGAUUAUUUAUCGAUUAACCAAUGGUGAUAAAAUAUUACAAUGAUCAUAUUUUACAGCUUAUAUAUAUAAUAAUAAUAUAUAUUAUAAUUAUAUAUAUAUAUAUAUAUAUAUAUAUAUAUAUAUAUAUAUAUAUAUAUAUAUAUAUUAUUUAUUUAUUUAUUUUAUUUAUUUAUUUAUUUAUUGUGGUUUCAAAUAGAUCUAGCACUUUAAUGAAAUUAUUAGGGUGUGAUAUACAUUUUCAACAAGAGAAAAUCUCAUAACUUGUCCCAUAAAAAGUCCUCAAUAUUUUCUUGUAAAGAAGAGAAAAUCCUUCCAUAUUAUUACAAAAAUAUAUAUAUAUAGAAAUAAAUUAUUAUUUUUAGCUUCGGACAACUUCUGAUUUACCUCUUUUAGAAGGCUAAUAUUGAAAAUACUUUUUUUACGUUCUAACCUAUUUCAAAUAUAUUUCUAGAAUUAAAUUCUAUUAUUGAACUGUUAGCAAUAGCUGUUAUCUAUAUAAAAUUACUAUUUCACCCUUUCAAAUAUAUCUUUCUAUCAUCACCGACUUUUCGCAUUUACCCUUAAAUUAAGAUAUAAGAAGUAUUUUGAUUUUUGAUCUUUUCAAAUAUACUCUUCUAUCAUUACCAAUAUUUUUUAUUUAUUUUUAAGUUAAUGACAAAAUAGGUGUUUCGAUUUUUUUUAACUCUGAUAGAUAUUUAACUAACGUUUAAUUCAAAUUAACUUAACGAAUAUUAAUUACAGAAAUAUUUUGAAAUAAUAGAAAAACAUUCGAGGAGUAUGUUUCAGGAUACAUAGAUAAUUUUUUUUUAUUUUUUUUUUUAUGGAAAGAAAUAAAGGUGAAAGCUUGACGCCAAAGGCACGCUCAAUUGCGGAGAGUAUCAUAUCACAUCGAUACGCACUUUCGCCCACACACACACACACACACACACACACACACACACAUUUACACACUUCACCACUUCAUAAUCCUAAUGAUGGGAUUUUGCGUUACGCCAUUUUCGUGAUUUUAGUGAUUUUUAGUCUCCGAUGACACGUAUUUAUUUUAUCUCUAUUCAAUAACAUUUUAAAUAUUUUUAAUAUUAAAAUUUUAAAUUUUAAAUUUUAAAUAAAUUGAUAAUUUUUAAAUAAAAGUAAAAAUAAUAUACGACGAUAAAUUAGGACUCUUUAACGAGACGUUGUUGGGAAGCUCUGCUCUAGCUCAGAGUUUGUUUUUGGAUAAAUUUUAAAUAUCAUCCAUAUAGUUUUAUAUUUUUUUAUUUUAGUACCAUAUGAUUUAAAGUGUAUCAAUUUAGUAUCAUGUGGCUUUAUUUUUUUUUCGUCGGGUUCUUCGUUAAUAUUUCGUUUACUUAUAUACAAAAAUUUCAGAUAUCCCACCUAAAUUUAUCGAAUAUUCACUUUAAUAUCUUUUAGUUUUAAUUUUGUCACUAAUUUAACGAGAAAAAAAAUAGUUGAAGAAAUAAAAAAAAUAUAAAAUAAAAUUACGGAAUACUAAAUUGAUGCAAUUUAAAUUAUAAAAUACUAAAAUAAAAAAAUAUACAAUUACAGUGGUAUUUAAUUUUUUUUUUUUUUUCCCACAGGAUCUAACCCCAGUCCACUAUCAUUUUUUUGGUAAAAUUGCGUUGCGACCCCUCAACUAUGGCCAUUUCAAAAUGGGGUUCUUAAUCUAUUCAUUCAAAGGCAGGCAUAAAUAUUAAUAACUUUGUUUAUUCAAAGAUAAAUAUUUUAUCAUUAGUCUUAUCAAUUUUUUAUUUUUUAUAUUAAAAAUAUUUUUAAAAUUUUUGAACUCUCGAAUGAGCGGCUGCGGGAUCUACAUUUUAUUUUUGGAUACAGAAAUACUAUCUUUCUAACGUAAAUUCUUAUAAUUGAUAUUUUUAAUUUGGUAAUUUUUUUUUUCAAAUAUCACGCAGUCAUCCUUUCUUACAUAAAAAAAAAAACUAUUAAUAUAUUUAAUUAUAAAAUAACUAAUUUUUAAUUUUAUUUUAGCUCCUCAUUAGAUUAGAAAUUUGAUAAAAUUCAAACUCAAAAACUGUUACUCUCUUCGUUCAUUGAUUAUUUCAAAAACUUAAUAUAUUUAAUAUUAAUUACUCUAAUAGUUAUUACUUUUGUUAAAAAUAAUGUAAAAUUUGAUAAAAUUAUUAAUAAACAUAAGAAAGAAUUUCUUUUAUUCGGCUAAAAUCACUCAACUUAAAAAAAAAAAAAAAAACUAAAGAAAUAAAAAAAACUAAAAAAAUUGAGGGAGGGGCCGAUUUGAAAAUUUUCUAGAGUUGAGGAGGUAUUUAUACAUUUUCACCUCCCUCUUCUUAUUCUCUUCUCAUCUUUCUUUUUCCUUCUCUCCCGACUCUCUCUCUCUCUACUUAGUUGUGAGUUGUGAGUUGUGACCCUCUCACCUCUUCUUCUACUCUACUCUUCAUAUUCCCCUCUCCUCACUCUUCCUCUUCUCCUUCUCCCCAUACUAUAGCCUACGAUAACGCACACCUACUCAUUCCAUAAUCUCCGCAAACAUAGAAACAUACGAGUUACCAUAGAAGCAGAGAGAGAGAGAGAGAGAGAGAGAGAGAGGCGUGGUGUUUUGGUCUCUUUCCUUCUCCUUUUACCUCUCCCUGCUCAGCUCCCACCACCACCACACCCACACAAAGGGAGGAGGAGGAGAGAAACGCAGGAGGAAACAGGGGAAAGUACGAUUGCGGGUCUCGCAAAAGGCGCGAUUUUGAUCCCGCUUUUCCCAAAACGACGAGAUGGGUGUUCCAAAGCUGCGAUUUUGAGGCCCGAGGAGAGGUGAGAGGUAUCCGAAUGGAGUGGGAGAAGGGUGGUCCGAGGCGCAGCAAGGCGGCGACGACGACGACGACGACGAUGAUGGUGGAGGAGGAGGAGGCGGAGGAGAGGAGAAGAAGAGGAGGAGGAGGAGGAGGAGGAGGUGGUGGUGUUGAAGCGGAGGGGAUUGUGGAAGGGGGUUUGUACGUGAAGGUGAUGACCGACGAGCAAAUGGAGGUUCUCCGCAAGCAGAUCUCCAUCUACGCCACCAUUUGCGAGCAGCUCGUGGAGAUGCACAAGGCGAUUACCGCUCAGCAAGACUCCCUCGCAGGUUCUUCUUCUUCUUCUUCUUCUUCUAUCUCUACCCCUGUUCUUGGUAAUUAUUUGAUGUGUUCAACAACGAUUGAUCUUUUGGGUAACGUAACGUGUUAUAUACCACCACUCGGGAGAUUCUCAAAAAACCUUUUAAAAAAAAAACACCAUCUUUUCCACUAGAGAGAAUGGUUCAUCUGAUAUGGAUCGGAGUGAGCUGAAGUAUUGAGACUAUUUCUGGUAUCAGAGCUAUCGAAUGUCUCCUCGGUUUCGUGAGCGAGAGUGUUAAGACUAUUUCUGGUAUCAGAGCUAUCCGAAUGUCUCUUCGGUUUCGUGAGCGAGAGUGUUAAGACUAUUUCUGGUAUCAGAGCUAUCGAAUGUCUCUUCGGUUUCGUGAGCGAGAAUGUUAAGACUAUUUCUGGUAUCAGAGCUAUCCGAAUGUCUCUUCGGUUUCGUGAGCGAGAGUGUUAAGACUAUUUCUGGUAUCAGAGCUAUCGAAUGUCUCUUCGGUUUCGUGAGCGAGAGUAUUAAGACUAUUUCUGGUAUCAGAGCUAUCGAAUGUCUCCUCGAUUUCGUGAGCGAGAGUGUUAAGACUAUUUCUGGCAUCAGACCCCCCACCUUUUUUUUUACCUCUUUGGUACUUCUCCUGUCAGAGUAUUUAAUGCACAUUUACGAACAAAGAGUGUUAAGGCUAUUAUUAGUCGUUUUCUAUUAUAUAGAUCUUCUGGAGGAGGCUGUCUCUUUAGAAUUAGAAAAGGAAAUAGCUUUGGUUGGGGUUCUAUUAAUGAGGAAUAGGUUGUUCUGCUAAAAGAGAUCAUAGAUUUGGGGAGAACCCCGUUUGUGGAUUUUGCCCCUUUUUUUCAAUUUCUCAGAUAAUAAUUGCAGUUCAUUGUUUGGGUUGAUAAAUAAUUGUUCGAUUCUGCUCAUACAAUGUACUUCAUUUCAUUAGUGUUCCUCUUUGGCAUUAAUUCCAUUUUUGAUCAGUUUAUUCUUUUGUUGUUUACUAAGAUUCAUUCAAAAUUAUGUGUCUUUGUGUUACAAAUUGAACUAGUCAUUCAAUUUCAUGAACUUUUAGAUUGUUUUAGAGUGAUACCCAUAAUUAUGGACAGCGAUUUGGCUUGCACCUGGAUAUAUGUAAAGCUUCUCGAGACGAAGCUGAACAAUUAUUUAAACACGAAAUGCAUAAUUGUCGCAACUUUAUUUUUGUUUCGACUUCGAACGAACACGUGUUACAUGUUCUUUCUAUGGAUUCAAAAUGAGCAACUAUUUUAAUACUUUGUUCCUCUUAGUACAUAUAUAUAUAUACACACACUUAUGAUUGAGCAUCUGACACAUUCCUUUUGUUGGCUGCAUUAUUUAAACAGAUCUUAGAAUCUCAGUUUUACUCGCACUCUUUGAGUCGAUCACGAUUAGCGAAUAUGUCGGAAACUGGUAAUGAAGUUGAAACUGGUAAUGAAGUUGUUUUCUGAAUACUUUUCAUUUUACUUAAAUCGUCAUGCUAUAUUAGGAAUGAGGCUUGGGAGUCUCUACUGCGACCCUUUGAUGACACCCGGAGGCCACAAAAUCACUCCGAGGCAGCGGUGGACCCCUACGCCCAUGCAGCUCCAGAUUCUCGAAACCAUAUUCGAUCAAGGCAACGGGACGCCGAGCAAGCUGAAGAUAAAAGAGAUUACUCUCGAACUCUCGCAGCACGGCCAGAUCUCCGAAACGAAUGUCUACAACUGGUUCCAGAAUAGAAGGGCUCGUUCGAAACGGAAGCAAAAUGCCGCGUCAGCAAAUAACGCCGAAUCUGAAUUCGAGGUGGACGAUGAAUCCCCUAGCGAAAAGAAACCGAAAUCGGAGAAGCCCCAUGAUGUCUCGCCAGCAAUGGCGGGCGAAAUAUCGAUUCAUUCUAGUGAAAUGAACUCUCAAAUGCACGCCAUCGAUCCAGUGCCGCCCUGUCGAAACCAAGGCUUCUAUGCUUCUAACGAUAGCUCGAGGUCCUCGGGGAGUUCGGGUCAGAUGCCUUUCUAUGAGAACAUACUCGCGAGCCCUAAUGCGGUUGUUCAACUUAAUUAUCCGUUCCUUUAGAAAAGCGAAAGAUUGAUCUCUCCUGAGGUCACGAAUGCAAGAAAAGGUUAUGCUAUUGUAAAUGUUGUCGGAAAUGCCGUGGGAGAUUUUUGCUACUUUUGAUCUAGUUGAGUUUGAGCUGAUCAUUACUAGGUACUUAUCUAGUUGUGGCUCUUUAAUGAACUACUAAUUGUAUUUAUAGUAAAUAGUAAUACUUUGUUUCUUCUAGUUUUUUAAUGCAAAUGGUGUGACCCUAAGAGGUUACUUGUGGAAACUUUUAAACUGUACAUGGGCCCAUCAUCUACUUCUGAUUUUAUGUAAGGUUUAAGCUAUAUCUCUUUUGAGUAAACUGUCACAAGUCCAAGCUAUGACACGUUUAGAAGCACAGGGCCUUCCGGACUUCUAUAUUAUUUUUGUUGAUAGAACAUCUGAAUCGACGAUUAAUUGUCUCAAUUAUACAUAAUUUACACUAAAAAGUAUUUAAUAAUUAAAUUUCAUAAUAUUUUUAACAUUAUUUGCCUAGCCAUCAAAAAGUUUCAAAAUUGUGAAUUUCAAAAAAAUUAAUAAAAUUUUUUUGUACUAUGUAGAGUAUAAUCAAUACCUCCGAUCUAAAAUUUAAGUCCAACUAUAAUUAUUUUUUAUGAAAUUUUUAUUUGCAGUUAUUUAUUUUGAAAUUUUGUUUACUAGAUAAAUGAUGUCGAAAAAUUAUGAAAUUUAAUUUAUAGAUGCUUUCAAUAGCGAAGAUCAUCUGUAACAAAACCAAUCGUCGAUUCAAAUGCGCCAUCAUAAAAAAUAAUUACAAGCACGAAAACCUUUGUGCUUCCAAAGUUGCUCUC